GGUGGAACACUUGCCAAUGAGUUAUAAGUUAUAACUCAAACGGCAUAGUCUCCCCAUACUCAAUUAAGAGGUUGUGGAUUCGAGUCUCGUAUCUUUGAUUAAAAAAAAAAAACAACAACAACAACUUCUCUGAAAUUGUAGAAUUGAGGACAGAGCUGCAGAAAAAAGCUUUUCAUAUAACUGUCACUGAAUUACACCGCCAGCGACAUGGAUUCCAAUUCUGCUUCUGCACUCGAUGAUGAUCCUUCCGAGGAUUUUGAGAUUACAGGGCUGCACGACAAGCUCAAUUUAGGGCACACUCCGUCCUCUUCUCCCCCCUUCAUCGCUCGCAAGAAAAGACGCGCCAGCACCACCCUCAUCUCCAUCUCUCCCGAAAACUUCCGCCAGGUAGUUAUUCAAUUCAGCAACGGUCGUUUCCCUUUCAUCUCACACUGUUCCCUCUUCCCUCCCAGCUACGAAUUCUCCAAACAAGAACUGGUUUCUCUGUGGGUAGCCCAGGGACUCUUACAGUGCUCCACCAGGCAGCAGGAGCACGAUGCAGCCCAAGUCUUCGAUUCGCUCGUCUCCAGCCAAGUUAUUGUUCCCUCGAGAUCUGAUCCGUCCGUGGAUUUCGUCCACGGGAAGACGAGGAGGUUACUCUAUAGAAUCAACCAGGAUAAGAUCACGUUCUCAGUGCUUGAAUACCAUAUGGUAUUGGAUGCAAAUUGGGAUAAAGUACCUAAGAAUGUGAAGCAUUUGUCAGUGGAUUCAAAGAGUGUGGCUUGCGCCUCGGGUUUUGAUGUAAUUGAGAGGUUUGAAAAUCUGAACACGCUAUUUCUUGUUCCUGUGCCUGGGUUUUAUGUUGAACGCAUUCCGCGAAAUCUUUUCUUGUGCCUUAAGGGAUUGAGGUCUUUGAAUUUUAGUAGGAAUCUUAUAUCAGAGCUGCCGAGUUCUAUCGGGAGUUUGAAAUCGCUUCGGUAUCUUGAUUUGUCUUAUACGCCCAUUAAACGCUUGCCUGAUUCGCUAGUUAGUCUUUGUAAUUUGCAAACUCUUAGGCUUAGGGGAUGUUUAGAGUUAGUUGGGUUGCCUAAAGGGAUUGGGAAGCUCAUUAGUUUGAGGCAUCUUGAGCUUGAUGUUGUGAGGCAACUGAAAUCAAUGCCUCCUUGGAUGGGUAAUUUGAUCAAUCUUCAAACUCUGCCGGCAUUUCUUGUUGGCAAGGAUGAUGGGUGCCGGAUUGUGGAGUUAAAGAAAAUGAUCAAUCUUACGGGUGCAUUUUGCAUUUCGAGAAUUGAGAAUGUCUCUGAGUUUUGAGGAAGCAAUGGAAGCUGAUUUGAGCAGCAAGAAGUUCCUUUGUAGGAUACUGUUAAGAUGGACCGAGCCAAGGGUUGCCGAUGCUAGGAAAGAAGAGCAAAUCCUUGAAUGCUUAAGACCCCCUCUGGGCCUUGAAGAGUUGGCAUUGCUAUGCUAUGGUGGUUCUAAGCUUCCGAGUUGGAUUGCUGAUCCUUGUUAUGAUUGUAUGGUUGAUAUGACUCUACAUAACUGUUUGAAUUGUGAACACCUUGAGCCCAUUGGUAAAUUGCCAUGUCUUCAAUUUUUGCAUAUCAAAGAAAUGUGUAAGCUUCAGAGAAUAGAUGAAAGAUUCUGUAGAGAUGGAAAAGGUCAACAGUCUCAUGCGUUUCCGACCUUGAAAGAACUUACAAUUGAGGCCAUGCCUAAAUUGGAAGAGUGGGUAGGAGUUCAAGGUGGUGACUUCCCAUGUUUACAAAAGCUUAAGGUGGAACAUUGCCCCAGCUUAGCCUCGCUUCCACUGCUGUCAUGCCUCUAUUCGCUUAAGCAUUUAGAAAUGAAUGAUUGUCCUGUUAUUUCAUCUUUGCCUGACGGAGGAGUAUCUGCAUCUCUUGAAUUUCUCUUUAUCAGAGAUUGCUCUGAGCUGAUGAAAAAUUGCAGCAAAACAGAAGGAAAAGAUUGGGUUAAGAUAGCUCAUGUUUCCAAUGUAUUUAUUGAUGAUGAACAACUCUCUUUUAAUUGAUAAUGGCUUUAAGCAGGUAACUUCUAAGUGCUGGUGAUAGAGUGAAAGAGAAUCAAGAAUCUGUUAGAAUAACAGAUUCUGUAUCAAGUAGUUUUACUUUCCAUUCGUUAGUUAGUUAUAGAUAGAUAGUGUUAAGACUAUAUAUAGCUUGUACUACUCCUCUGAGAGAACAGAUUGAAGUUGCAACAAUUCAAUGCAACUUCACUCAUCAAUUCUCUUAUUUCUUCAUUUUUUUCUCUUCUGUUCCAUAAACUCAUCUCCUACAGCUGGUGAAUCUAGCUUCUAAACUAUGCUGUCAAAAUCUUGUAUACAUGUGAUUAAUCUUCCCGGAAUUCAUGUCUCCUCCAUUUCCGAAACUACUCAUUAAACAAAAAAAAUGAAGGGUAACUCAGUUUAUUAACCAAACAUGACUCGAGCACCAAGAAAUAAAGUUUUUUUUUUUUUCUCUUUUUUAAGCUUUACAUAAAUGAGUUUGACUUACCUUUGACUUUGAAANNNNNNNNNNNNNNNNNNNNNNNNNNNNNNNNNNNNNNNNNNNNNNNNNNNNNNNNNNNNNNNNNNNNNNNNNNNNNNNNNNNNNNNNNNAUAAUAGAUUCAAUAUAUAUAUUUGGUUGGCAUUAGAGUUGGUUGAAGAUAGAGUGAGAAUGGAAAGUGUUCUGUUUCAAACAGGCAUAGUCUCUGCUUCUUUGCAGGUUAUCCUUGACAGAUUCACAAGCUUUGCUCAUAAAGAGCUUUCUCUUCUCUUUGGUUUUGACAACAACGACCUCAACAAGCUUGAAAGGACACUCUUCAAGGUUCAGUCUCUUGUUGACAAUGUUAGAGCCAUUAAUCACUCAUCUUCUUGUUCUUCUCAUAAUAAGGCCCAACACCUUUGGCUCAGGGACACUCAGAAUGCCUUGCAUGAAGCUGAGGACUUUCUAGAUGAACUUGCCUUGGAAAUCUCAAAACUUGCUUCUGCUGAUGUCAACGUUGACUUCACCAACAAGGAUCAGGUCAGGAACUUGGUCUUUUCUAAGUUUAAGUUUAGUAUUCCCUCUCAGAUGGUUAAGAUGCAGAAUAAACUACAAGAGUUAGCUAGGGAAAUGGAUGGUUCCUAUGUAGAUGAAUUGCACAAAUUGGGUAUGCCUUGUUCUACUGUAGGGAAUUUUCAAACUAGUUCGUUAUUGGAUGAGUCAGUUGUGAUUGGAAGAGAGAGUGAUAAGAGAGAAGUUAUAAAAUUGUUGUUGGAUGAGGAAAUGGGGGGAAGGUCGAAUCUUUCAGUGAUUGCGAUUGUGGGCAUGGGGGGUGUGGGAAAAACUACUCUUGCUCAACUUGUCUACAAUAAUGUUGAUGUGGAUAGCAACUUUGAUUUGAAAAUUUGGGUAUCUGUUUCUGUUGAGUAUAACAUGGAAAGAGUCACAAGGUCAAUUGUUGAGUGUGCUUGUAGGAAAAAGGUGAAGUUGUCUGCUUUAGAACCAAUUCAAAUGAGACUUGAAGAAAUACUUAACGGAAAGAAGUUUUUAAUAGUAUUAGAUGGCUUCUGGGAUGAGGAUGAACAUAAUUGGGAUGUGUUGUGCUUGCCAUUGAGAGUUGCUGCUCGAGGGAGUAGAGUACUAGUGACGACUCGAAGCAUGCUUGUUUCUAGAAUUGUUGCCACUGCUUCUCCUUACCAGUACCAUUUGCAGACUUUGUCUGAUGAAGAUUGUUGGGAAUUGCUUAAACAAAGAGCAUUCUCAAACAUGAGACAUGAUACUAACAAACAAUUAGAAUUGAGGGAAACUGGCUUCAAGAUUGCACAAAAAUGUGAUGGGCUACCACUGGCAGCUAGAGUUCUCGGAAGCACCCUACGCUUUAGAUCCGAUGAAAUGGAGUGGGAUGACAUCCUGAAAAGCAACACAUGGGACAUUCCAGAGAAUCGAAGUCAAGUAAUUCCAGCAUUGAAACUGAGUUAUGAUCUUUUGGAUGCUUGCUUGAAAAGGUGUUUUGCCUAUUGCUCUUGAUGGUUUCAGUGGCUAAGAGAAGGGGGGGUUGAAUCUUAGCCCCCUUUUUGCUUGCUAAUGCUUGUGCUUCAAGUAACAAUGUUAUUCAACAUAUUUUAUUUUGAAAUGUUGAAUGCUUGAUUUAUGAGCAGAAUGUGAUGAUAAUCAAAACUCAUUUGUUAUCAAUAAAUUGAUUAUCUGCUCAAACAUACACAUAUCAACAAAACACAAACCAGUGUUGUUCAGAAAGUUUCCAAAUAUUUUCCAGUCCAGAUAUCAGAGCAAUGUCAUUCAAAAUAAGGAAAAUAUUUUCGAAACACAUAUUAGCACAUCAAAGCAUGGCAGUUGUUAAAUAACACAUCUUAAAGGAACUGCCAAAUAUAAAUCUUCAAACCAACAGGUUUAUCAAACAUGAACCAAUCAGCCAAUUAUAUCAAACAUCAUAAUAACCAAAUGCCAAAUGCAGUUCAUACAGCAAGGAUCAUAAUAGAACAAAAAUCAGCCAAGCAUCACAAUAUAUUAAACAUUAUAAUAAGCCAAAUGCCUUCUUUGAACAAGGAUAAUCAUGAAUUUUCAAUUUGAAAAUUUCAACCCUUGUCCCCUGUUUUUCCAGCCCCUGUUUCAUUCCAAUUUCAAUUUUGGAAUUUAAAUUUCCUCCCCCUUUUGGCAUCAAGGGACAUAGAAGACCUGCAACAAGAGAAAUGAGCAAUACAUAAUAUUUAUAACAAAGCAGUAAUUGUUCAGAGUAUCAUACGGCAGGGAGUACUGCCUUUUGGUGGAUGAUCUUGUUGUUACACCAUGAGAGGGAUCACCAAUGAUGAAAUCAUGAGGAUAACCCCUCAUAGAUUUCCAUUCUCUAGGCUUUCGGAUGGGUGUAGUACUUUGAUGAUCUUCUGGUGGUCUCACUGUUUCAGUUGCUCGUGCCUGUUCAGGAGACAAAAUGGAAAUAUCUCCUCCAAUCUGACGAGACAAAACCGGGCUGACAGAUUCUUCACUUUGAACAGUUUUGGGGUUUUCUUUACUUGUUCCAGCCUCUUCACAAUCUGAAUCAAUAUCCUUCACAAUACUGGGAAUUAAGUUAGAAUCACAAAAAGUAACAUGUAUGGAUUCCUCUAUUGUCCUAUGCUCCUUGAGAUAAACUCUAUAGGCCUUACUUGUGGUGGAAUAUCCAACAAACAUUCCUUCAUAUGAUUUUGGAUCAAAUUUUCCAAGGUUUUUCUUAUUGUUGAGCAUAAAACAUUUGCAUCCAAAAAUAUGAAAAUACUUACACAGAAGAAAAAGCAAUUCCUUUCUUUUUUGAAUCUUUUUUCAAAUAGGUGUUUUCAAAAGCAAGAAGAUUUCCUCUCAAAUCAUCAAGUGUCAUGGAGUCUAAGCUACUACUCUCAGAAAUAAUUAAAGCUUUAGUCUCCCACUCUUUUGUGAGACAUCUCAACACUCUUCUCACUAGCACAGAAUCAGAAUGUGUAAUUCCCAGAGCAUCUAAGCCAACAAUGAUAGCAUUGAAACGUUCAAAUCCCUUGAUGCUUCAUGAUGAUGAUGACUUCAUCUGCUUUAAUCUCUGCCUUCAACCAUCACUUCGCCACUCUAGCUACUCCCUGUGGUGGUUGAGCAGAAUCAAAGACAAGCCAUGCUUCAAGAAUCUCCCUUGCUGGCCGAGAUCUUCUUCUUCCUUUUUGAGCAUGGAGAAGCCAAGAUUACCUCACCAAAUCUGUCCAUAAAUGGUGACAAUCUCAGCCACAGCUCAUUUUUAUUUUAGUAUGUUUUCUUGCCAUCAUUGUGAUGGUCUUUAGGCUUGCUUUCUCUUCCUUUCGGUAGCUUAUUUUUGCUUCCAUGGCUACCAAUGUUUCCUGUGUAAUAACCGAAGAGAGAAAGAAGUGAGAGAGAAGAAAGAGUCUGAAGAAAAGCAAUAGUGGUUAAACUAAUUAAUUGAAGAAUAUCUUGCUUUUGCUUCCCUUAGUUGGCGUGUAGCAAUGAUGCCCUUUAGUCAAAUCAAUCUUCUCUCUCUUGCUUAUAUUCCCAAUGUUUAAAUUGGCUUUGAAAUCCUUUCAGGAAGAGUAAUGGAAUCCGUUGGAAGCAUUUGAGAAUUUGUUAUUCUUUGCUUCAUGGAUUCGGACAAGGCAUGAGUAACACUCAUGGAAUUGGGCUUGGUUGCUAUAAUCAAUUUGAUCUUGGCCCAUUAAUAACAUUUGCUUUCCUGAUAAAACUUGGAGCAUGCAUAAAACAAAUGGAAGGCAUGUAACACACUUGGGCUUAGAGCAAUCAAAAUUAUUUGGCCCAAGUAACAUUAAAUCAGCCACAUUCAUUUUUUGUUAUUAAAACCAAGGCUGAGUGAAAUUUUGGGCUGGCACAAUAAAUUUGUUUUCGGCCCAAUAUUAAUCCUGCACAACAAAAUUAUUUUAAUUAACACAUUAACCAAGAUUAGCUUAAUAAUUUUGCUGUUAAUAAUGUUUGAUCAUCAUCAAUUUAGUUUAGAGUUUUCCAAACUCAUCAGCUCUAUUUUUCCUGCAAGUUUUGAAUUCAAGAAGGAUGAUUUGGUCCAAUUGUGGGUGUCAGAAGGCUUUGUUCAACCAAGAGGAACAAGAAGAGCUGAAGACAUUGGCAAACAGUAUUUUGAUAUAUUAUUUCAAAGGUCCUUCUUUCAAUGUUCACACCAAGAUCUUCAAAAUCAGCCAGUGUAUAAAAUGCACAAGCUCAUUCAUGACCUUGCUCAGUUUGUUUCUGAUGAAGCUUGUCUUAGAAUGGAGGAUGGCAAGUCAUUGCCAUGGGGUGAUUUGAGAUGUGUCAGACAUUCAUCUUUGGUAUGUAAAGACAUUAAGGUAGAAAGUCUGAAGGCUUUCCUUAAGUGUGGUCGUCUGAGAACUUUCAUUCUGUUGUCUCAAGGUGUGUGCCAAAUGGAUCAAAUCCCUUAUGAGUUUUUUUCUGAAUCUCAGAUACAUAAGGGUGCUGAAUUUGAGCUUUUCCAAUAUUAGUGAGCUGCCUAACUCAAUUGGAACUUUGAAACACCUCCGACACCUUGAUGUCUCGGAAACUCAUGUUGAGAAGCUGCCUGAAUCAGUAACAGAUUUAAAUGGGAUAGAGAUACUUAUGCUCAACAACUGCUUCAAACUACUUCAGUUGCCUAAAAAGAUGAAAAAUCUUACCAACCUCAGGCACCUUGAAUUGGACAUAAAACGCCAAAUUAGUUCUAUGCCAAAGGAAUUUGGAAAGUUAACAAACCUUCAAACCUUAUCGGCGUUCAUCGUAGGCAAAGAGAAAGGACAAUGCAUAGAAGAGCUUAAAGACAUGAGAUUCCUUCAUGGGUCCAUAUGUAUAGUCAAUCUUGAAAAUGUGACUAAUAUGAGAGAAGCCGUCGCGGCUAAGUUAGAACAAAAGCCAUGCUUGGAAGGCUUGGAGUUGCAAUGGAAUGAGUUUAAAGAUGGCCUAGAAGAGCAACAAAUCUUGGCUGGUCUUCAACCUCAUAAUAGGAUCAAAUGGUUAACUAUAACAGGUUAUGGUGGUUUUAUGUUUCCAAGUUGGUUGGGAAACCCAACAUUUUGCAGGAUUGAGAGAAUUCUUUUGCAAAAUUGUCGUUAUUGUAAAGUAUUCCCUUCUCUUGGCCAGCUUCCAAUGCUUAAACAUCUUUAUGUGGAAGAGAUGCAUGAUUUGACACGCGUGGAUGAUGAGUCCCAAGGUCCAAACAGUUUUCCAUCUUUGCAGUCUCUUACAUUUCAUAAUCUGCAGAACUUGCAACAAUGGAAGGAUUUGAAAGCAGGGGAUAUGCCUAACCUCACUCAUCUUACAGUAAUAGAUUGUCCAAGCUUGAACUUUCUUCCUUCACUUCAUUAUCUUACAAGACUUGAGAGCUUAGAGAUUUCUCAAUGUCCCAAGCUUCAAUGCUUACCAGCAGAAGGUUUACCGGAUUCACUGGAAUGUCUAAUCAUCAUAGACUGUUCUGUUCUGAAGGAAAGAUGCAGAGUUCAUGAAGGUGAAGAUUGGAACAAGAUACAGUCCAUCCCUAAAGUUGAGAUUGAUUAUGAGGAUAUAUUUUGGUGACAACAUUGAAGGAAAUCCAUUUCAUCUACCUCAACUGAAGAACAUCUCAACCCUGUGAUAGCUCUAAUGUGAAAUCUUAUGAUUUGGCAAUGUGAAAACUGAAAACUGAAGACUUCAGUGCGUUUAGUUUGCGUUUUUAUUUUCUGUUUUCAUUUUUAGUAUUUUCUGUUGUUUGGAUUUUAGGAACGAAAAAGUGAAAACAGGAGAUGAAAACAAAAAACAGGAUUUUAUUGUUUUCAACUUUUCCUUCACAAAAUCCAAACAACAGAAAAUACUGAAAAAGAGUAUGUAAGUUAUUUUGCCCCAUUCUUUGCAUUCCACAUUGUUGCAAUUUUAUUUUAUGGAAAAGUCUACGGGGCCAGCAACUUGUGUAUUUUCUGACCAGCACUUAACCAUCAAAACAAAAGUGAGUGAUCUCCUACCAUUAGAUGUAAUCUCACACCAUUAAAAACACUAUUGAUGACCAAUUGAUGGUUACAAAACACCAAAAUUACUGGCUCCUAGUAUUCCUCUUAUUUUAUUUUAUCAUCUUAGAUAAGUCUUUGAAUAAGAGAUAUUCAAGAAAACCGUUAUUUUUUUUAAUCUUUCUUCUCUAGCAAGCACAGAUUAAAUGAGCCAAUGAGUUAUAACUCAAAUGGCAUAGUCUUUCCAUAUUCAAUUAAGAGGUUGCGGGUUCGAGUCUCCUAUCUUUGAUUAAAAAAAAAAGCACAAAUUAAAUGCUCAGUAGACUAUCUUUUAGGAUAUUAUGUUAAUUAACGCUGUCUAAAUUUUAUAAAAAUCCCAAUUAUUUAGGAAUAAAUAAGAUUUAAAAAUGAAUUGUUAUUAGUGAACGGAAAAAAGAAAAACAGAGCUAUUAAAAUAGGUUAUUUGCGUCACGUGUUAACAAAGUUAUCAACUCAUCACUAUAUUAUGAAAUGUAAAUUUCACACAAAUAAAACUCACACUUAAUUCUAUAUUUAUAUAUAAAAAUGAAAUGAUGGAUCCACAAAUAAAUACAUCUAACAUUAGUCAUAGAAUUAUUUCCCUAAAAAGAAAUAAAAAUAAUACCUUUCGUAUAAGAUUUUUUGUGCAAGAUAUGUCAUUAUAUAUUUAUAUCGAUCAUUGCAUGGCCUAUGCAUGCCUAGAUAAAUACAUGCAUGAUUAAUGUUGUAUGGAGCAUUAAAGUAGCACAGAAAGUUAGGUGUGACUUGUAAUUACGUAACAUAUUUGAAUAAUACUCAAUUUAGUCCCUAAAAUUACACUCGAGCCUCAAUUUAGUCCUUAAAGUUUUAAUUGCCUCAAUUUAGUCCCCAAACUUUUCAAUUAACUCUGUGACGGAAACCACUGUACGGAAACCACUGUAAGGACUAACGUGAUUAAAAUUUGAAAAGUUCAGAGACUAAAUUGAGGCAAUUAAAACUUCAAGAACUAAAUUGAGGCUCGAGUGUAACUUAAGGGACCAAACUGAGUAUUUUCUCAACAUAUUUUCAAUUUGCCACAAUUUGAUGUAUUAAAAUUGUCUCUAUUUCUUGUAAUAAAGCUUGACUUAGUCGGUAUAAUUUAAACUUAUAAAGUGCAUAUCAAGAAUAAUAUGCUUAUUAAUAUAUUCUUUAAUUUUUCCUUCUUUUUAAAUUUUAUUUCAUUGGCGUGAAGACUUUGCAACUUAAGAAGGAAUGACAUGGUAAACAUAAUCUAAUUAUCCAACCAUUUAGAUUGCCAAACAAGAAAAUUGGCUGUCUCCAACAUCUUAAUUUAUUGGUUGGUUAGAAAUCAUAUGAUCUGUUUUUCCAAAAUGUCAAACUUAUGUAGCAAAUUUCCUUGUCGUACUAUUCAAUUAAUUAAGAUCUGUUUAACCAUCUACAUUACUAUAGCAAAUUUUCCUUUCGUCAUAUUAGUCCUACAUUAAUUAGUCUCACAAUUACUUUAUUUUAUGUUUAUCAUUUUCACAUAUUAACAAAGUAAUUAUUAUUUUUCUAAUUUUGUUUUAAUUACACAUCAGUAACUAAAUAGUUUAGUAUAGAAUUAAGGAACCAUUCACAUAAAGAUGCUUAAAACGUCUUUUUUUUUUAAGGUAAAAAUUCAUGUGGAGUCGACUUCACGUGAAGUUGAUAUCUAAGAGUCGUUAGAUGAAAAUUUAGUUAAAUCAGUCAAAUCAUCUAACAGCUCUCAAGUAUUCGACUGCACCUGAGUUUCCACCUUUUUUUUAAAGACGUUUUUUAAUAAUUAAAAUUUAAUCUAUAUAAUCAAUCAAACUGUGUUAUUUUUGUCAAAAUUAGACCAAAUAAAUUAGUUUGACCGAAAAAUUGAUAAACUAAAUCUUGAACCGACCUAAAUUAAUAUUCUUUUUUUAUAGAAAAUAACUAUAAUAUUCUUAUUAUAAAAAAUGACUGAAAUACUCUUUAAUUUUGAAAAUCCUAAAUUCUAAUCCUAUGACGACACAGAGAAAAGAGAAGGGUUAUGAUUUAGAGUUUUUUUUAUAUAUAUAUAAAGUCAUUUUCUAUAACAGGGGUAUUAUAGUUAUUUUUAUAAAAAAUAUUAAUUUAAAUCGGUUUAAGAUUUGGUUUAUCAAUUUUUCGAUCAAACCCAUUUGUUUGGCCUAUUUUAACAAAAAUAACACAGUUUAAUCGAUUAUAUAAAUUGAAUUUUGAUUAUUAAAAAUGUCUUUAAAAAAAGACGUUUUAAGUAUCUUUAUGUGAGUGGCUCCCAUAGAAUUAAACAAGGGCAUUUUAAUCUAAUAAGUAUGCAUCACAAUUAAGUUUUAAUUUUAAUUUCCUUAAUUCUUGUAUAUUAGUUCUAAUUAAAUGAAAAAUAUUAAAUUAAUAAUUAUAAUAGCAAGAAAAAUUAAAAGAAAAACAAUUUUGUUACACCAAUUCCCAACUGCAUGCAUGAAUAAUUGUCCUAUAUAUAUAUGCAAAUCUUCCGGACCUUUAAGAAAUUAUAGUGGUUGAAGAAGCUACUAAUAAUAGCAUGGGAGAACAUGUUGAAGAAUGAAGAAUAAUUAAUAGGUAGCAUGGUAGGGACAAAAUUUUGGCACACACUACACUACAAAUAAUAAUAAGCAUUAUGAUGAUGCAAGAAAGUUUUGACAAUAUGUGUGUGCUGAAAUUCUCAAACUAAUUAAAACAUGCAGAAUAAUAGCCGGCAAUAUUGGGUACCUAUAUUAUGUUUACUUUUCUUAAGGAUUAUUAAUUAUGUUAUGGGCUUAUGGCCCCUCUCUGUAUUAUGUACUAUACCUUUCAUGCUUGUUAAUUAUACAUGCAGUAUGUAUAAUUGUAUAGCACUAAAUUAGCUGGUUUUCUUGCAGGAUUUCAGGGUGCAUUGUUGGGAAGCCAUGUGGUUAAAUAUCUCUAAAUUAAAAGGUGGAUAAGAGUAAAUUAAUUUGUAGGGGUGUUCGCGGAUCGGAUCGGAUCGGAUAUGGCCGAAAAUUCGAUCCGAUCCGCACAAUUUUCAUCGGAUCGGAUCGGAUAUGAUAUCCGCACUUUUUAGUGGAUCGGAUACGCGGAUGUAGAGCAGAUAUCCGCGAUCUGAUCCGCAAAGGGUGCAGAUCGGAUCCGAUCAAUUUGCGAAUCGGAUCGUAUCCGCAAUUUUCGGAUCGAAUGCGGAUAUUUACCGCAAAUCUGCGGAUACGAUCCGAUCCAUGGACACCCCUAUUAAUUUGUAUAUUGGGAUAAUCACAUAAUUAGGGUGAUAAGCUUCACCAAACUUUCACAGCCAUUAGCACAUAACAAUCAAGUAUAUAAAUAGAGGAUAUGGAGAACUAGUCAUGAAUUGAAGAAAACAUGCAACAUCUAUAGGAAAAGACAAAAUUAAGAUUUUGAGAGAGUGAUUAAUAAAAUCAAAGCUGGAAAAAACUGUUAUAUAUAUAUAAAGGUAGAGAGACUAGAGAGUAACCUGUCCCAUAAGUAAUUUAGGUUGUGAAUUUAUUGCAUAGGAUUGGCUCAACCAACUCUCCUAACACUUUUCUCUUACUGUCACAGAUACUCACAUGCAAGCUAAGAUGCAACAACCUCUCUCUCUUUAUUUAUGACACAAUUAUUGCCCCAUAAAACCCCACUUGUGUUGUGUGUUAUAGACCUGCAAGGCAGUAAAAAUACAUAGAGUUUCUGAAUCAAAUCAGUAACCUGCAGUGCAGUGCAGUGAACAUUGUUAUUAUUGAGAAUGGCAGAGGUUUAUACUGUGAAAGUUGAGGAAGGAAGAGAAGCAAGUAAUGGAAAGCCCUCAGUAGGAGCUGUGUAUAGAUGCAUAUAUGCCAAAGAUUCUCUCUUGCAAGUACCUCCUCAGUUACAUUCACCUUGGGACUUCUUCAGGUCACUUUCUUCUUUUAUACCAUUCUUUUUUUUCAUUAGUUUUUAGGAAUUAUAAAAAAUACACAAGUUUUUUAUUUAUGGUACAAAAAAAAAAAAAAUUGUAUUUGUGUUAUUGUCUUUUAAAAAAAUAUCGAAAAUAUCGAGUUUUUACGUCUCUUGUUUUUUCCAUGUUUCUUUCUUAAAGAAAAUAUCCAAAUAUGUCUUAAUAACACUCUUUAAAUUUAGAAUACAAUAUCUUAAUACUUUAAAACUUAAACAUUUUAUUUUUCUACACUAUAUAUUCUACUUUUAGAUUAUGUUAUUAGUAUAUUUGUUAGUGAAGACUUAUUUUAACAUAGAAUUAUGGAAAUGAAUAUAAUUUAUCAUGCAUCCUUGCAUAAUAAGCUUUUCCAUUUGUAGCUUUGAACAAAAUAAUGCUUUUUUUUUAUUAAAAGGGUGAUUAAUUGUUUCAAAAUGAGCUUGUUCUGUAUUAGUAUUCAGUUUUAGAUCAUUUGUAAUUGCACAAUGUAAUUAUCACACUGACCAAAUCACAAUCCAUAUAAUAGCCGCAUAUGCUAAUGUUACUUAACAUGUGUUACUGGCUUUAAUUAACUAGUCUGUAUCAAUGCACACGUUAGUUUUAUAUAUCCUUAAUUUCUUGAUUUUAAUACAUCAAUUUAUCAAUUAAAUGCUAUUUCAUUCUAAUAAUGAUUCUCUAAUCUAUCCAGAUUAAACAAUGGUUGCCAAAUAAAUAAUGAAUUUGUUUUGAUUGAAAACAAGAUUAACAUAACAAGUAUAGCAGUUUAUUUGAAGAAGAUUCAUGGAACAAACAGUAUAAUGGUAAUAUUUGGUUUUAGAACUUUCCUUAGCAGUUUUUAAUGUUUCCUUUUGGCAGGGACUCUGUUAAGAGGAAUCCCAACUGUCGAAUGCUCGGCCGGCGUCAGAAAACAGAAUCCAAGGUACUAUAAGUCUAUGAAUUUGUGUAAUUUAUGUAAUCGAUUUCACCUAAUAAAAAAAAGGUUUAAUUACUCUGCUGGUCCCUAUAGUUUCGCAAAAUUUUCAAUUAGGUCCUUAUACUUUUUUUUCUUUUAAUUGAGUCCUUGCACCAAAUUUUUUUUUAAAUUGGGUCCCUACACUUUUUUUUCCUUUUAUUUAAGUCUCUGUAUCAAUUUCUUUUUAGUUGGGUCCCUAUAAAAUUAAGCCAAUUACUACUAAGAGGGACUUAAUUGAAAAAAAAAUUUGGUGCAGGGACCCAAUUAAAAAGAAAAAAAGUAUAGGGACCUAAUUGAAAAUUUCACGAAACUAUAGAGACCAACAGAGUAAUUAAACCUAAAAAAAAUUCUGUUAUUUUUGUUAACCCUUAGAAUAUACUGAGAAAAUUGAGGUGAAUUAUUAGGAGGCAGGUCCCUAUGCAUGGCUGACAUAUCAAGAGGUUUAUGAUGCUUCUAUCCAAAUGGGUUCUGCCAUGAGAAGCCUAGGGGUUAAUCCUGUGAGUAUGCAACAUUUUAUUGCUCUUAUAAUGUGCUUGAUAUUUUGUAUUGUAAAUCAUUAAAUGUGAAUUAAUAAUCUAACUAUUUUUUUGAUUUUUUUUUUUUUCACUCUAAGGGUGAUCGUUGUGGCAUUUAUGGAUCCAAUUGCCCUGAAUGGAUUAUUGCAAUGGAGGUAUAGGACUUUGUAAAUUGUAAUAUUAUUCACAUUUUAUCAAAGAGAAAUUAGAAUAUACAAUUAUAUAUUUAGAGAUAAAAGAGUGUUAUGUAUAAUAUACCUUGUUGAUUAUUCCAACAAGAUAUAUAACUUGAUUCAAUUUUAUUUUCACCCUGUUUUGUAGGCUUGCAAUAGCCAUGCAGUAACAUAUGUUCCAUUAUAUGAUACCCUCGGUAUGAUUUUUCCUUCCUUAGAAUUAUAGAAUAUGUAUCAAUUUGUGUAACAUAGUUGAUUAGUUUCUCUUACAUAUAACAUGGAAUUAUAAUGCCUAACAGGUCCUAAUGCAGUGGAGUUUAUCAUAAAUCAUGCCGAAGUUUCAAUAGCAUUUGUACAAGAAAAUAAGAUUCCAUCUGUNNNNNNNNNNNNNNNNNNNNNNNNNNNNNNNNNNNNNNNNNNNNNNNNNNNNNNNNNNNNNNNNNNNNNNNNNNNNNNNNNNNNNNNNNNNNNNNNNNNNNNNNNNNNNNNNNNNNNNNNNNNNNNNNNNNNNNNNNNNNNNNNNNNNNNNNNNNNNNNNNNNNNNNNNNNNNNNNNNNNNNNNNNNNNNNNNNNNNNNNNNNNNNNNNNNNNNNNNNNNNNNNNNNNNNNNNNNNNNNNNNNNNNNNNNNNNNNNNNNNNNNNNNNNNNNNNNNNNNNNNNNNUUUUUUUUUUUUUUUUCUCUAGCUAGCACAAUAAUUUAUUUGGAGUAGAAACUUAGAAUAAUGUCAAUUUUGAUUUCAUGUUUGUGCAGAUUUUGUCUUGUCUUGAAAGGUGCUGUUCAAAUCUCAAAAGUAGGUUGAACAUAUUUCUAUAUUAAACCUUAAUGAUUCCUAGCUAGUUAGAUUAUUAAGUGUUUGAGAAAAGGACAAAUAGGUCCUUGACCUUUUGUCCCGCGGACAUUUUUGUCCCUGACCAUUGAAAAAUACUUUUAAGUCGCUGACCUUCACAAAACUUGGACGGAUCAAUCCCUUCGUUCAAAUGCCUCCUUCAGGGACUAAUCCGUCCAAAUGUCUCCGUUAGGGACUGAUCCGUCCAAGUUUUGUGAAAGUCAGGCACUUAAAAGUAUUUUUCAAUGAUCAGCAACGAAAAUGUCCGCGGAGCAAAAGGUUAGGGACCUAUUUGUCCUUUUCUCUAAGUGUUUUUCCUCAUUCAGUUGGUGAAUUAAUAUAAUAAUGGUGUAGCUAUUGUGAGCUUUGGAAGUGUUUCAAGCACACAAAAGAAGGAAGCUGAGAAAUUCGGAACAUGUUGCUUGACAUGGGGAGAGUUUCUACACUUGGUAUAGAAACAUGCUUUAUAAUCACAUUGAGUAUUCUUUCAUAAUUUUUUGCAAUAACUUAAUCUACUAUUUUUUGUCUUUGUCUAUCAGGGAAGUUUGGACUGUGAUCUACCAUCAAAAAAGAAGACUGAUAUUUGCACAAUAAUGUACACAAGUGGAACAACUGGAGAUCCCAAAGGUGUUGUCAUCAAGAAUGAAGCUUUCAUGGCUGAAGUCUUGUCUAUUGACCAAAUAAUUUCACUAACAGACAGAGUGGUAUGCUAUAAGAAUUUUUAUUCUUACUUCAUUAGCAUCUUAAUCUUCUUCUGUUACAAAAAGUUAUUACCUCUUAGGAUAUACUCAAAUUGUAGCAUAAAUAUGAGUCAAUCUGUUGUACAAUUCAAAAUAAGUCACUCAAAUAUUCGAGUUAUUUUGUAUUACACAUCAGAUCGACUCGAUUUUGACCGAAUAUAAGUCACCAGACAAGGUUGAGUUUCUCAUAUUUAUGACAAUAACAACAACAACAACAACAACAAAGCCUUGUCCCACUAAGUGGGGUCGGCUACAUGAAUCAAACGACGCCAUUGUACUCUGUCAUGUAUCAUGUUUCUCAUAUUUAUGACAAUUAAAGAAAAUUGUGAUAUUGGAAUAUUUGUAGGCAACAGAGGAGGAUGUGUACUUCUCCUUUCUUCCUCUUGCACAUGUAUAUGACCAGAUAAUGGAAACUUAUUGCAUCCACAAGAACUCUUCAAUAGGAUUUUGGCAAGGGGUGAGAAAGACUUCCAUAUUAACUUCAUGAAAUUUAAUUUGGUUUAAUUUAAUAUAGUUUCCAUCUUAUGUUAUAUACUUUUUAAUGCAUAGUUUUGAAUUUUUCAAACUAAAUAUUGCAGGAUGUUAGGUUUCUGUUGGAAGAUAUUCAGACACUAAAACCAACCAUAUUCUGUGGUGUCCCUAGAGUUUUUGACCGUAUUUAUGCUGGUAAUUAAUUCUCUUCUUCUGUGAUAUUAUCAUAUAUGAAAAUAAUGCUCCAAGUAUUUUUUAUUUUUUUUUUCAUUCUAAGCUCCUCUUUCCUUUUUUAUUUUGCAAUUGAAGGUAUAAACAACAAGGUUUCCUCUGGAGGAGCACUGCAAAGUGCAUUGUUUCAUUAUGCAUAUAACUAGUAUGUUUUAUCACUAAUUAAUCUCUAUGACAGUUUUAACUACCUAUUCAUAUGUAAACUAAUCUUGACUCUAACAACAGCAAGUUGAGAAAUCUAGAGAAGGGUCUUCCACAACACAAAGCAGCACCUUUGUUUGAUAAGCUUGUGUUUGAUAAGGUAUGCUUUAAACUUAAUCAAUACUUUACUAGCAAGAUAGAAAACUCAUGAAAGAUUGAAUUAAAAAGCUAAUACAUUAUUGGUUUGAAUAAUUGGUAGACAAAACAAGCAUUAGGUGGACGAGUUCGAAUCUUGUUAUCAGGAGCUGCUCCUUUGCCUAGACAUGUUGAGGAGUUUAUGAGGGUCACUAGUGGAUCUACAUUAUCACAAGGAUAUGGUAUCAACUUUGAUAUUUAAUCUUUCAGUGUCUUUGAAUAGAGAUGAAAUUGUUGAUGAUUGUGUAUUCAUUUUGAUAUGACAGGUCUUACUGAAAGCUGUGCUGGGUGUUUCACAGCAAUAGGUGAUGUGUAUUCAAUGACAGGAACUGUUGGAAUCCCCAUGACAACCAUUGAAGCAAGGCUUGAAUCAGUGCCUGAGAUGGGAUAUGAUGCACUUUCCGGUGUGCCACGUGGAGAAAUUUGCCUCAGAGGUGUUAGCUUGUUCUCUGGUUAUCACAAGCGUCAAGAUCUUACUCAUGAGGUUAUGGUUGAUGGUUGGUUUCAUACAGGUAAAUGUUAACUAUGUAGAAUAUUAAAACCUGUUACAUUGCCUCUAAAUGCAAGAAAUUCUUAGUUGCUCUCAGAGUUGACUAAAGUGACUAACUAGUGACUUGUCAUUUAAUUAAUAAAUCAGUGCAAGAGUUAUAACUAAUAACUCAAACUCUAAAUGCAAUAUUAAAGGCUUGAUUUGGAAAUCAUUGCAGGUGACAUUGGAGAGUGGCAACCAAAUGGAGCAAUGAAAAUCAUUGAUAGAAAAAAGAACAUCUUUAAGUUAUCUCAAGGAGAAUAUAUUGCUGUGGAGAGCAUAGAGAACAAGUAUCUGCAAUGCCCUCUUAUAACUUCGGUGUGUUUCUAUAUAAACUCACAGAAUCAACACUUAAUUGCAUAUAUAUAAUAUGGCAUUGUAAUUCUUCUCAAUUACUAAACGGAGUAAGGGUCGGUUUGGUUCGGGUUUAUGGUAAAAUUAGAAUCGAACCGAUCAAAAUAUAAUUGGUUCGGUUUGGUUCGGAUUUGUAUUUUUUUGUACAUGUACUCGAACCAAACCAAACUGAUUAAGAACAGAUUGGUUCGGUUCGGGUAAUUGGGUACUCGAUAACUUUGAAAUUCAUAAAAACAAACCAAAUUUUUGUCUUAAAAAUUCAACAAGUACAAUAAACAUGUAACAUCAAUAGAAAUAAUCCAAACAUGUUAAACACCAAAUACAAAACAUAUUAAUAAUGAAUAAUCAUUGUCUAAACAUCGGGUUCGUGGGUUGGUUCGGGUUCCGCACCCCCAAAACCGAUACCCGAACCCACUAACAAAAGCCAUCGGUUUGGUUCGGAUUGGACCCGAUUACCCGUUGGUUUCAGAACCAAUUUAAUUGGUUCGGUUCGGGUUCGGACGGGUAAUCGGGUACCCGCUACCCGUGCUCACCCCUAACUAAACUUAUGUUGUUAAAUAUGGAUUACAAAUUUCCUUCCGGAUGCAGAUUUGGGUGUAUGGAAAUAGUUUUGAGUCAUUCUUGGUGGCUGUGGUGGUUCCUGAAAGAAAGGCCCUUGAGGAUUGGGCACUUGAGCAUAAUUUGACUGCAGAUUAUAAAUCUUUAUGUGAUAAUCUGAAGGCAAGAAAAUACAUAUUGGAUAACCUCAACAGCACUGCUCAGAAACACCAAGUAUGUAUAUGAAAUUCUCCAUCUUAAUCCUAUGCUGCUGAUAUAUGACAAUAGAUAGUAUAUUAUUUCUAGAAAAAAAAUAACUUUCUGUUAAUAAAUUUAGACAAUAUUAAUUUUUCAUAUCCAUAAUAUUCCUAUUUUUUCCCCUAUCAUAUCUCCUACUAAGCAGGACAAAGUGCAAAACUUUGUAAUUGUUGUAUUAUACUCCUAUUAUUAAAGAGGGGAGAGAAUAAUGAAAAAGAUAAUACAAAAAUACAUUUGUCCACUAAUCCAUAUACAUAAUUAAUCACUUUCAUAAUUCGUGUUAAGUAUUUAUAACAAUAUAUAUAAUCUAUUUUGUUCAUACUAAUUAAAUCUUUGACUUUAACUCUCUCAGCUUAGAGGAUUUGAGCUGCUAAAGGCUGUUCAUUUGGAACCAAUUCCCUUUGACAUGGAGAGAGAUUUAAUAACCCCAACAUUCAAGUUGAAGAGACCACAGUUGCUCAAGUAUUAUAAGGUUUGUCUUCAAGCCGUGAUCAAUAUUUCAUAACUCUGUUUCACUUCAAACCUUACAAGUUUUUAGUGGUUUGCUUGUUUUUUUGUUUAUUUAUUUAACUCCUUCAUAUACUGAUAUGAUUUAGAAUUUAAACAAGCCUAUAAAUGUAAAUUGGUUUUAGCUUCCUUAUAUCUGGAUUCAAGGGCUAUCUAUGAAUUACAAUGAGAUGUUUGAGUGCCUUAAUUUGAUAAACUAAUGUUACUAUACAAACAUGCGCAGAACCAUAUUGAGGAACUAUACAAGGAAGCAAAGGGAACAAAGGCGUGAACCAUAUAACAAGAGGGUACCCUGUAGUCCUACAUUAUGCUCUGAUAGUAAUUUUUACCAGUUGUGUUAGAAGCCAUUUGGUUUCUUGUAAAUAUAUGUUUAUGAAUGAACACUUUGCAAGUGAUAAACAAAAUUUAGUUGUCGUUCCUUGUUAUGAAGUGAUUAAGUGUCUGUAAUUCUGUAUGCUACAUUCCACGUGUGUAAUUUGUCAAUAUUAAUUAAUAAAAUUAUUUUGAAAAUUCCAAAAAGCUAUAAAUUCCCUUCCCUUGAAAAAUCAGUUUCUUUUACUUUACUUUAUUUUUUCAUAAACUGAUAAACACUUAAACUCCUAGAGAGUAUGUACAUAGGGGUGAGCACGGAUCGGUUUGGUUCGAGUUCAUGGUAAAAUUAGAAUUGAACCGAUCAAAAUAUAAUUGGUUCGAUUUGGAUCGAAUUUGUGUUUUUUUGUAUAUGUAUCUGAACCAAACCAAACUAAUAAAGAACGGAUUUGUUCGGUUCCGGUAAUUAAUUAUCCGAUAACUUUGAAAUUCAUAAAAAAAAAUCAAAUUUUUAUCUUAAAAAUUCAACAAAUAUAAUAAACAUGUAAUAUCAAUAGAAAUAAUCCAAACAUUUAAACACCAAAUACAUUAAAAACUAAACCCAUUAAAAUCCAAACAUAUUAAUAAUGAAUAAUCUGUCUAAUGAAAAAGUCAUAUAUAUAUUUUUUAUUUUUUUAUUUAAUUAAUAUAUGAUCGGGUUCGCGGGUUGAUUCGGAUUCCGCACUCCCAGAAUCGAUACCCACUCCCAGAAUCGAUACCCGAACCAAUCACUAACAAAGAUCAUCGGUUUGGUUUGAGUUGAACCCAAUUAUUCAUUGGUUUCAAAACCAAUUUAAUUGAUUCGGUUCGGAUUCGGAUGGAUAAUUGGUUACCCGCUACCUGUGCUCACCCCUAUAUUUAUGUUUGAUUAAGAGGUAAAAGUACGAUGCAUAUUUUUAUAAAUAAACUUUAUUUAUGGGUCAAGAAAUUAUCGAAAAAAUUGUCCAUCCCAUUUUUAUUAGUCAACCAAACACAUCCCUAAUGUUAUCUUCACACUACAAACUAAGGAUGAUGUUAAUAGCACCACAAGAACACUUAGCAAAGAGAGAGAGAUACAGAAUCUGAAAAUGUUGCAGCUAUGUCACAUUUUGAGUCUUCAUGUUCAGUGUCAAUUCACCUUCUAUGUAGCAAUAUUGCAUUCUUUUUCAAGGAAUAAAAUGUUGCUGAAUCAAGAAAGAUGAACGAUAUUUGAAUACGCGAAUUCACUCAUCAUUUAUACGCAUCCAAACUACAAGGACAUGCAAAAGCAAAAGUCAUAAACAAUGGCAAGGAAUUCUAAUCUCUAGAUACGUUAACAAACAUUAACAACAACAAAAUUCAACUUGCUUCUCACUCAUGACACAUUAAACAAGACCAAAUUUGCUGCUACACAUACAUUAUGUUUGUACCUAUAGAAUGUAGAGCACGAGCGUCCAGAUAGGAUACACCAACAGAAGGAUUAUUCCUAACGUAUUGGAUAUGCCGUGAGGUUUGGUGAAGGAGUUUCUGAAACCACCGGAAGCGCGAAUAUGUUCUUGCAGCAAGUAACAUGCAAUGGCAAGGCAUAUUAUCACCCCUACUGCAUUGUUUCUAACGGUGCUUGCAAACAGACUUGGAGCUACCACAACGAGCAGAAUCAAAGCAGCAGGAAGUUCCAACCAUUCUGCAAUAUCAACCGUUACAAGUUAGUUACUUAGUUACUACUACUUUCUAAUUGCCAUGGCAUGGAAAAUAUUUCAUAGAUCUUAAUUUCUCUUCUGAUAGCGAAUGAGCAAGCAAGCAAGUAAAAGAAUACCGACAAAAUCUACAGGGAAAAGAAAAUAAAUACUGUAGCAUACAACUUAAUCAGCAUUUAGGCCGCUUUUGUUUUCGAGAACAUGACAGGACAAAACAGGACAAAACACUAAUGGACAGAGACAGAAAAUUUUAUGUUCUUGUAUUUUGUUUGGUGAUAAAUUAGAACAAAUUAUGAAAAUCCAAUUUAUUCUCAUUUUUUUCAUCCAAAAAAUUUGAAAUAAAAAAUAUAAUAAUAAAAAAUAUAAUUAUAAAAAAUUAACAAAAAUAAUGAAAGAAAAAAUAAAAAAUAAGUUGUAUCCCUUGUAAGUGUUUCUGUGUCCUUCAUGUCAGGAUGGACACAAAAUACACUAAUUAAGUAUCUUUGGCCACAUUGUUUCUGUCAUGUCUCCUCUGCCAAACAUGAUUUUGUGUCUCACUCUGUCUCUGUGUCUUGUUUAGAGACAUCAGAUUUUUCCUAGCUAUAAGAAAAAUUGAAGCAUAUAUGUAGAUACCAGGGAAGCGCCUUGGAAAGAAAAGUCGCAAUACAACUGCAAUUAAAGCAAUCCAUUUCCCAACAUCACCCCUGCAAUGGAAAAAAGGAGGAGGUAUCAAGAGCUGCUCUGAGUAGUGCAGAGCCAAGAAAAAUCAGAGAGAAACGAAUGGAUCUAGUAAAAUGCAUUGAAGCUGUAAUGAAUCGAAUUACACGUGAUUACAGUGAGAGUGGUUAUUUAUACCUGAGCUAACAGAAUUCAUAACAGAAAAGGUGCCAGCUCAGCACAGAUUCUAACUUAUUCUAACUACUUUCAUCUACUAACAACUCUCACUAGCUGAAGAAAGGGUGAGGUACCUGAAGAAGCCGAAAAUCCAUGAAGGCAAGCUGAAGAAAAUGUAUGGAAUGAGAAGUGAUGUAAGAAUGUUGGUCUUCCAGUUUGUACGAUCCAAAAUCAGCAAAUAGCUGCAGAUGAGUGAUUAGCGAUUAGAUAAUUAGGUUAGAGAUAUGGAACGAUCGAAGAGGGAAUAGUAAGAGAUACAUACAUAGCAGCGAUGGAAGCAACGGAUUCAAGCACAGUGACUCCGGCGCCGGACACAGCAGCUAGUUUAACGGCGUUUUUGGCGAGUUUAUUAGCAGCAAAAGCAAGGUCCCUCAGAUCUGAACCGAUUAAUUCAGCUGCUUCAUCUUCGAAUUCCCUCCUCAUUGCUAAGUAGCUCUUCUUGUUGCGCUUCCACAUUUCCUAUGCCUUCUUGGUGUGAGAUACAGAAAACAGAAAGCUGAUUUUGCACUGCGCUGACACGUGUGAAACUCUCGGAAUAGGAACUGCCACGUGGAGUUCAACCAUUGGAUCGUCAUCGUCAUCACAUAAAUGCGGUGCCGCUUCGAUAAGAAUUGCGACAAGUGAGAACAACGUUCAACGUUCUUCUAUAUGGAUUAUGGAUAUGCACGUGAAUAUAUCACACAACAAAAUUUUUCUUUUUUCAUUACACACUACUCACUCAGAGCUGCAUCACACGACAAUUUUUUUUUUUUCAGGAGAUUGGACAACUCCAAUUUUAAAUAUUUUAAUAAAUUGAACAAUUCUUAAUGCUAAAUACAUAAUACACCUAUAUAUUUUUCACAUUUUUACCACAUUUUUUUUCAAUUACAAUUUUUAAAAUUUAAAUUCUAGACCUUUGAAGUGGAAAGAGAAAGAUAUGUCAUAUAAACUAAGGCUAGUUGGCAUCACACGACAAAUUUAAGUUAUCAUCUCAAUCGUUUUAUUUUUUUUUUUCUCAAGUUUGGUAAAAGAUAUCAAUAAUGCAAAGGUCCAAUUGACCAAGUUUUAUAAACUGUUGGUCUGAUCCAUUUAUGUAUUGGGCUAACUGGCUACAUUACGAAUUAUUUUAGCUAACAUAUCUAGAUAUAUAUUUUUUGGAUUAGCUUCAAUUCUAAUUAAUAAAAAUAUCUUGAAAAAAUAAAAAGGACAAAAUUUAGGCUCAAUUUGAGUAAACAACUUAAUUAAGUUAUUUUUUAAAAAAUAGCUUAAACAAUAAAUGCUUAUAUUAAAAGUAGUUUAUAAAUAAAUUAUUUUGUAUUUGGUUUUUUAAUUCUAAAAAUACUUAUUUUAAGAGAAAAGUAAUAAAAAAAUUUUUAUUAUGAGAAAAGUCAUUUUUUUAACUUCUCUUUAAACACCAAAAUAGUUUUUAGAAGGAUUAAAUUAAAAUGUGUGCAUGGAUAACAAAACAGGAAGUCCUUAUUAAUAGGGGUAUGUAUGGGCCGGGUGAAACCGGGUUUGAUGUGAUUCAGAUUCGGCCAAAAAUAUAUACCGGGCCUAUUUAUUAGACUCGAACCCGGCUCUAGACCCGAUGAAACCUAUACACUUUCCGGCCACGAUUAUAUCAGGUAAAAAUCGGGUGAAAACCGGGCCAUUAACAUUACAUUUUCUUGAUACCUUCUUAUAAACUAGCAUGUGAAAAUAUUCAAAUUUCCAAGACUCCAACUAUUAUUUGACAUGAUAAAAUUCACUUAGAAAAAUAUAACAAGAAUCAACUCUUCUCUAAAAUUAAAGCAUAACCAUAAUCAAUACUAAUAUUGUCUAAUACACUAAAUAUUUAAAUCAAUAUAAAUAACACAAUAUUAUGCAUUAGUCUAAAAUCUUAUGCAUUUUAAACAUAAAACAUUAACUUAUAGCCUUAUAAUAACUAAUAACACAAAAUAUUAAGGUUUACAAUACUUAAAUUCCACGUAAGAAUAACCUUCAUCUAUUACUAAUAAUACAAAAUAUUAAAUGUGUAUGAUGAUCGGACCACCGGACCGACUUCGAGUGACCCGAGUUAUGGCCCAAAUCCAACCCAAUAUAAUGAUCGAGUCUAUUUUUGAGACCCUUACCCGACCCUAGACUCAAUAAAAUUACACCAAAAUAGCUCCUAACGUAUUUGAAACCAGACCAAAUCUUCAAACCGGACUGGGUCAUACACACCCCUACUUAUUAACAUUAGAUGUAAGGAAUUUCACUCUUCUCUAUCCGUGUCUACAUGCAUGUAUAUAACUUCUUUUUGUUUUCUUGAAUUUUCUUCUCUUUCAUACUUUAUUUAAUUUGUCUCUUUCUUUUAAUGUCCUAUAUCUGUAUGCAUGGUCCACAAUGUCUUAAUUUGUUUGGAAAAAGAAAAAAGGAAGCACGGGGGAGGAGACAAAUUACAAAUAUCAAUAUUUGGAUUUAUUAACACAUGCAUGUCUUGAAGUAUUGCAAAUUAAAAGAAAAUUUGAUUUUUUUUCAGUCAACUAUAUAUUCAAUUCAAUACAUUCGAAUAAACAUUUUAAUUAAACCAGUAAUGUUUUAAAUUUUAUAUAUAUAUUUACAAAACUUGAAAAAAAUCUCUAAAUCUCUCCUAAUAAAUUAAGUGUAAAUGGGUUAAAAAAUUACGAUUUAUAUAUAACACAGGCAUAAUAAUUAAUAAGUAUAUAUAUGCAAAAUACAACCGAUCUCAUCGUUUUUAUUUUUAUAUUUCCAAAGAAAAAUAUUUAUCGAAGAGGAGAGAAGAAAAGAUGGUUUGAGUCUUACAGACACCACAAAUGACGAAAAAAAAGAUUCCAGUUUCAGAAGUCAUACAAAUCCAAAAUAGGCAAUUAGGAAGCAGGUGGAAUGGUUUCUAUAAUACCUUAUUCUAGAAUUAAAAUACAUUCUUUCUCUUGAUAAUUAUUGCAUUAUUUUUUUUAUUAAAAAAAUUAUGAAAAGAUAAAAUAAAAAAAAAUAAAAAAAAGAAGAAGAAGACGAUAAUGAUGAGAAGAAGAAUAGGAUAAAAAGAAUUUUAAAUUGUAUAGACUUUAUCAAAAAAAUAAUACCAAAAUUUUUUAAUCGUCACACAAAAAAUUUUUUAAUUUUGAUACUGAAAUUUUUUAAUUGUAACAUAGAUUUUUGUUAAAAAGGUGAAAUAAGAAUUAUGAGAAUACGUAAGAAGAAGGUGAUGAAACUAAAAAAAUAGAAGACAGAAAAAAAAAAAGAAAAAGAAGAUGACCGAGAAGAAAAAGAGGAGGAAUGAGAGAGUUUUAAUUGAUAUAAAUAGCACCAAAAUCUUUUAACUAUGACAUAGGACGUUUUUUAUUUUGACAUAAAAAAAUUUUAAUGACGACACAUAAAAUUUUGAAUUGCAUGUCAUUUUUAAUUAAAUAAUGUACUUUUUUUUUUUAUCAUUAAACUAGUUAAGUGAUACUAAUAUAUAAGAAGUUUAGUAAUUCUUUUGUUAUUUGUAAUAAUUUGAUGUAUUUUUUGUUUCAAAAUUUUUGAAUAUAUUUUGUUAAUUAAGUGAGUUAAGAUUUUAAAUUUGUGAUUUUUUAAAAACUUCUUGUAUUAUUUACUAAAGAUUUCUGUAACAUUUUUAGCCAAAUUAUAUGUUUUUGUUAUUAUUAAAUUGAUUAUGUGGUAUUAAACUAAGAUAUAAAUGAUUUAGUUAUUCUUAUAUUAUUUUAUAAUAAUUUGAUAUGUUUUUUAAAUUUAAAAUACAUUAAAAUGUAUUUGUUGAUUAAGUGAGUCGGUCUUAAAUUUAAAGAUUUCUUUUGUUAAUUAUUUAUCAAAAAUUUAAAUAUUAUUUACAAAAAAUGUAUGUGUUAUUUAUAAAAAAAACCAGAAGCGAAGAAAAAAAAAAAAAAAACAAAAGAAAUGCAUACGACUGAGAAGGAGAAAAAAACAAAACAGCUGCAAUAAUUUGGUUAAAAGAUUAUUUAGUUGUCUAGCUUUACUGUUUAUCGAAUUAUACUGUCAUCAUCACCAACUAUGCGCAUUAUAAUGUCCCUUCAAACAUCCAUUAGUCAUUAGUCAUUGAUCAAUAUAAAAUAAAAUCCUUCAUUCUCAUAUAUUAUUAAGAAUUUAAAAGGUACCAUGAAAAGGAUUUGGACUUUGGACAGUGGUUUCAAAUCAACUAAUUGCCGCUUGUUAUUUUUUAUGUGGGAGAGAGAAGUAUAUAACAAGAAGCUGUGAGUAGAAGUGUGUUUCACAUUGAUAUGGAAUGUACAAAUUGGAUGCACCGAUUUGUUUGUUUUAUUUUUUUUUUUCAAACAAACAAUCACAAAUCGGACGGUCCGAUUUGUGAAUUCGAAAAUAAAAAAUUUUUUAAUGUUAAAAUUGGACCGUCCGAUUUUUAUUUUAAAAAAUAAAAACAAAUAAAAAAUGCAAAACGAACCCACCGAUUUGUAGUUUAUUUUUUUCUCCAAACAAAUCGGACCCUCCGAUUUGUAAUUUAUUUUUCUCUUCAAACAAAUCGGACCGUCCGAUUUAAAUAAAACACCAUAUAAAAAAAAACACCUAAUCUUCCAAUAAUGAUGUAUUACACAUAUAUUUAAACAAUAUAAAAAAAAAUUAGCCACUAAUUGCAUGCAUUUUAAGUCAUUAUUUUUUUCAUCAACAAUAAUUGAAAUAAUGCUACUACUUAUAUUUUAAUAAUCUUUUUAAANNNNNNNNNNNNNNNNNAAGAAAGAAACCAACCUAGCUCUGCCCAAACAAACAUUUAAUAACACAUCUAAUAAAGAAGAUGACACUUUCAGUCCCAAUCGCAAUUAACCUACAUUCAAAUAAUGUACCAAUUUUGUUAGGAAUAUAUAUUUUUUUUAUGGAUUGCGUGCUCCACGAGAGAAUGAUCACCCAAUUCUCUUAGAAUAUAUAUUUUUUUCAGGAGGAAGCAAGAUGAUAAUAUUUGAUCUGAAUUCUGACCAUGUUAGCUUUUGUCGCAUUCCGUGGCUCAGAGCCAAGAAUUUUACCGACCCUAGAAAGAUAGACACAAAUUAAAUACUAAACUACUUAACAAUUUGAAAAUGCUAUUAGCCUUUAAAGUAUCAUUCAUUAAUUAAAUCUAAUAAUUUAAUCACAUUACUCCUAUUACUACUCCAUUUUAUACAUAAUUAUUGUAUUCAUAACACAAUGUCACGCCAAAAACAUUAUUCCUCUAUUCUUAUUACCCCUAUACCAGGAACAAUAUAAUAUGAAAGGGUUCUUGUAAGUGAUUUAAAUCAUGUGGAAUUAAUUAAUGCUUGAUAUAUAUGAAACAUUACUUUAUCCGAUAUGCUUAUUAGAUUGUUUAAUUCGAAAUUGAAACCAAUUAAUAAGUAAUAACCAGUUACUCUUUAGUCUUUAUAUACAAGUGCAUAGUAAUGGUUUUUACUUUUUAUAGAGUUAUCUUAAAUGGGUGGAAAUUUAGGAUUAAAAAAAAAAAGUAAAAAAAAUAUAUGAACCAAGAGGUGAUCAGCCAAAAAGUAAACAACUUAAUUAAUUUAUAAUUAUAUUUAAUUAAUUUUAUUUAUUUUUAAUUUAUAAUAUUUGAUAUUAAUUACUUCUCACCCCAAAUUAAAAUUCCAAAUGAUACGUUGGAGAAAUAGAGGUGGAGAUCACAGAACUUUCAAUAAUCCUGAUUCUUAGUAUAUAAAAAAAUUUAUAAAAUAUAUAAAAAAACAUCCAUUUAGUAUGAAAAAGAAAUAUUCUGAUACUUAGUAGAAGAAACAUCCUAAUGCCUAACAUAAACAUUAUUUACGUAGAGAUUUUGGAUUCACCCAAAAACAUUUAGCGGAUUUUUCGCUGGUACACUCUUAAUUCUCUAGCAUUAUUAUUUAAAAAGUAAAUAGCAAUAACACCCAUAAUUUUAAACUAAUAUUAUCAAUUUUAGUAUAUACUGUCCUUAUCAACAGCUAAUGAAGACAAAUAUUGUACCACACUUUACAACUUGACCUCUGUGUGUUAAUUAUGUGAUUAUAUCAUUCACUCUUGUCAUUUUAUCUGAAAAAUAUACUCAUUUCUAUUCAAUUNNNNNNNNNNNNNNNNNNNNNNNNNNNNNNNNNNNNNNNNNNNNNNNNNNNNNNNNNNNNNNNNNNNNNNNNNNNNNNNNNNNNNNNNNNNNNNNNNNNNNNNNNNNNNNNNNNNNNNNNNNNNCACAUCCAUCCACUUCUUACAAACAUUAAUUAUUUUCCUCUUAGAAGUACUAUCCACCUUUGAAAAUGUAUGUAGAUUCUAUUGUUGGAAAAAACUUAUAUACUCUUUAAGCCAUGCACACGAAACCAAUAAUCAAAUAAAAGUCACAUUAUUCAUGAAUCACCCUAGCUAUAUGAUUGACUGAUUGGUGCUCAUGCAUGGUUCCCCAACAAGUUUUUGUCCUACAUCAUAUUGAACAUAAAAAAUGCUUUUUUAUGGCAAUGCAAGUGGGUGUGGCUAUAACUGGCUAUGCAGUAUUUGCAUAUAUAUUUAGCUACCAUGCAUGUAUGCAUAUAUGUGUACUUGUGUAGUAUAGGACACACUACACACAUUAAAAUUCGGCAAAUUCUUUGGUGCCGAAUUUGUCGAAGUUAUCUAUUAAUAAGGUAAAUAUUAAAUAUUUAGAAAUUAUUUAUUUAUAUAUUUUUAAAGUUAAAUAUUAGUUUUUAUUUUCUUUUUUAACAAAUUGGACGAUACUAUUUAGAUACUAUAACAAUGUUCGAAGAUAGGGACCAAUGUCCUUCCACCCAAGAUUACACAUAUAUAUAUAUAUACACACACUCAUAUACAUAAUCUUGGAAGGAAUGGUUGAGGAUGAUCUUACGCAUCAGUGGUCCCUGGUGAUUAUAUUGCAGUGCUUCCUCUUUUUUUUUAACUUAUUAAUUUAUUAUACACUGAACCACAUUAUUUUUGAAAAUUUUUGUAUCACAUAAUUAUUUUUUUUAAAUAUUUUUUGAAAUUUUUUAUUAGAUAGCGGUGGUGAAAGACAGAGGGCUUUAGGUACAGAGUUUGAGGAGAAAUUAAUGUUUCUGAUACAAAAAUUGUUUAAAAAAAAAACAAUUUAUUUAAAAUAUCACUCUUUAUUAUUAUAUAUUAAAAACCUUUAUGCAGCGUAUAAUUGUGCNNNNNNNUAUUAUAGUAUCAUUAAGAUAUUAAUUGAAGGAUUAGUAUAUCGGUAGCUUAAAAAUAACGGAAGUUUCAUUCUUUAUAAUAAUAUUAUUGGAAUAAGGAAGCGUAUGAAACAGUAAAUUAAGAUGGCUUGCUUUAGUUAGUAAUAAAAAAUAGAGUUUUAGUCUUCUAUUAAAUUGUUAACCCUUUUUUCUUUUUUUCAAAGUUAUACAAAUUAAAGGAUGACAUAGUCACCCAGGAUAGUCAACAUGGCAAUAGGUUCCAAUUUAAUACACCCGAACAACGGGCUAAAUAAGUUCAAUUAAUAAAAUGCACGUGCCAUUAUUUCCACGGGAAAAUUGUGAAAAAAUGAAAAAUUGAACAUUUGAAAACGUGAAGAAGUAAGCUAAGAAUUAAGAUUACCCAAAUACGGCAAUACUUAUAACAUUGACAAAUAGAAUGCUUGAAUUAAGUCACUAGCGUUAUAUGAGAAGAAAUAUUUGACAAUUGACAAUGUUUGACUUGGGAUGAAUUUUGGUUUUAUAAUUAUUAGAAAAUUGUUUAGAUAAGUUUAAUGAAUACAUUCAUUUAAUAAUAUUCUCUUUCAGUAGUCCAACAUCAUGCACCCGACACUCUUAUGUUUUAAGAUCCUAUUAGUUAUAAAAUUCUUAAUUAAUUAAAUGAGAGAAUAGUAAAUGAUUUCUACACUUCUUCCAUAGAAUAAGGAUAUACUAAUUUAUAAUUAAAUAAAAAUUUUGAAUAAGAAAAUGAGAUAGUGAUGAAUCUUAAGAAACAAAAAUUGAAAAGAACAGAAAUAGAAUUAUGCUAUAUAUAACAAGUUUAUAAAAGGUAAUUCUUAAAAAUAUAUAAACAAAGUUUCAAUAGAAAAAAUAACUUUGUGUGUAUUCAAUAUUAUUAGGAAACAUCAAAAUCUUUUUUUAUUCUAUUAGAAAAACAUUUCAGUUUUUUGUAUUCUUUUUGUGCACUUGGUAGCAUGCAGUAAUACCCUUAAAAAUAUAGUUGUAAUUAAAAACGACAAUGAUAUACUAUAUUAUAUGGUUGGUUUUAAUAGUAUAUAUAUUAUAUAGAGACAAAAUUCGAUACUAUUCAUCUUAUAUGUGGAGCCUAUAUGUUUAUUAUUUUUUAAUUUUUAUAUUCAAAUGUUUUAUUUAUAAGUUAUAAUUCUCUCUUUAUUUUUAAAACUGUUAUAUUACAAGACAAAUAUAAUUUUUUUUUUCAAUUUUUUCAAUUAAUCUUACAAAUUAAACUAUAAUCUCUUAUUUAUAAAAUCAUAUAAAACAUUAUUUAAGAAAACAAUAAAUCCACGUACGUGUGCCACCAUAAUUUUGCAGAAGAAAUGUUUGGUAACAAAAAAAAUCAGCCAAAAAUAACUAUAACUUGCCUUAUUUAGCAUUCAUUAAUCGUUACGACAAUUAAUGAAUGCUAAAUAAGAUAAGUUUUGGCUGUUUUUUUUGUUUCCCUAGCAUUACCAAUCAGAAGCAGCCACGUAAGCAAUCCUUAGCUUGAGCAAUCAAGUAUCACCCAAUUGGCAACUUGCAUCUCCACAUACAACUCCAAAAUAAAGCAAAGCAACGAAUGCAAAAGAAACAAUGUAAAUGAAAAACGAGUAUAUCAUGUUUCACAACAUCCAAAAUUCACUAAACCUAAAUAUGAUUGAUGGUAACGUUUUAGAAGCUUUUAAAAUCAUCUACCAAAUGAAAAUGAACAUUGAAUAUAAAUCCUAAUUAAUUAUAUUGUUUUUUAACUGGUCAAAUUUGUUCAAAUAUUAAUCAAAAUAUUAUCCUUUAAUUUCUUCGGUCAAAUUAUAUUAUAUUAUUAUGAAAAAAAUAAUUCUACUCUUUCACCAAAUUGAAAUAUUAGAAAAAAAAAGUUAUUAUGAAUGAUCUAAUUAAUAAUAAAAGACUAAGAUAAUAUAUAUACAUAAAACGUUAAAAAUCGUGGCUGCAAAGAAGUGAGAUAGGUUCGUUGAAUCCAAAUCCUUGUAAAUAAUGCUUAAAAAAAUUACAACUGUGUAAAUUAUAUUAUUAAUUAAACAUUAUUUCUCAAGUCUUCAACUUGCUAUCAUGAUUAUAUGCACACCACAUCUCGCCUUCAUUAUCAACCCGAUCAAAAGGGCAAAAAACAAAAACCAAUCAAGCAUGCAUUCAAAUAAAAGUAAAUUCCUGUACACAAACACAAAUUUUACUUUUCACUUUCUACAACAAGUCAUAUUGAGAGUACAUUCAUUAGGGAUGUCCAUGGAUCAGAUCGUAUCCGCAGAUCCGCGGUAAAUGUCCGCAUCCGAUCCGAAAAUUACGGAUAUAAUCCGAUUCGCAAAUUGAUCGGAUCGGAUCGAACCCGAUCCGCAAAAUCGCGGAUAUCUGUUCUAUAUACGCGUAUCCGAUCCGCACUAUAAUAAUUAAAAAAUAAAAAAUAUAUAUAUGUUUGNNNNNNNNNNNAUUUUUAUUAUAAAAUAUAUAUUAAAAAUAAAUUAAAUAAAUUAUAUAUAUAUUUAUAUAUAAAUAUAUUAAUGAAUAAUUUUAGUGACUAACAUAUUUGAUAAAAAAUAAUAAAUGAAAAUAUAAACAAAGUAGGUGGUUUUUUCACAAAGUACAGUAGAGAUGAAUAAUAACUCAGAAGGUAGAAGAGGCCUUAGUGAGAGAAGUGAUGGUAACAUUUGGACCCAAAACAAUAUCCUUGUAUGUAAAUUCAAAAGUAUCAUAACGCAAGAAGAAUUCCACCAGAAACACCCUGCACAGUAGUAUCACCAGAUUCUUCCCAGGACACUGCUUGUUCUCCGGCCCGGGCUGCUCCGUUUCAGGCCCGUUCGACCACACCACGUACUUCAACAACCUCUCCCCUUCCUCCCCAACGAACCUCCUCGCCACAAACUCCUCCGCCUUCUCGAAUAUUCUAGAAUCCUUCGUGGCAAAAGGUUGAUACCCAAACAACAUCUCCCCUUUCUUGAUCUGAAAAGAGUCGUCGUGGCUAUUUACUAUUAUGUCCUCCCUGGCCUUCGCGUAUUGGUACGGCACUACAGGCUCUAUCCUCAUAGCUUCAUACACUAUGGAUUUCACCAAACUCAUUCUCUCAACACCGUUUAUUGUGAUGCCUCCUUCUUCUUUCACUACGCUUCUAACUUCUGCCGCUAUUUCCUUGUGAAGCUUCUCGCCGCCCAAACCCACCCACUUCAUGAGGGUUGGAAACUGGUUCUUUAACCCUCCGUACGCGUUGAACCCCGCCGUGAAUAUUAUGUUGUGAAUGGCCUCGCUUCUUUCGAUCCCGGCCUUCUCUGCUUCUUCUAGAAGCUUCCCCGCGUUCGCCGAGAAUGCUUCGUAGAGCUUCUUGUAGCUCGAUUUCGCCAGGAAAGCUGGGAAUGGAACCGUACGGAUCAAGAAAUCCUCUAUGUAAUUGAAGAUCUUCGGGAGCCCCAGGGUCGCCAGUGGUGCCAGCUGGAACAGUAGCCACGUGUCAAACAGCUUCGGCCCUUCUGAACCUAGGUUCGUCUCCGCAGGAUCCUUUUAACAACAGAAAAAAUGGAGAUAAUACUUAAUUUAAUCCUGAAGUUAUACUUGACUCUCAAUUUAGCUCUUAAAGUUUUAAUUGUCUUAAUUUAGUUUUCAAACUUUUCAAUCGACUCUAGGACAAAAAUCACUGUAAAGACUAACGUGAUUAAAGAAUGAAAAGUUCAUAGACCAAACUGAGUAUUUUUCUUUUUAAAUGCGAAUUAGUUAUUACUACCACGUGAAACGAGCUAACGAUUCAGUUAGUUAGUUAGAAUAAGUACCUUAUUGUUGCAGAAGAGGCGGAACAUGAAGUUGAAGGAGGCGGAGGAGACGGCGUCGUUUAGGUUUGCAGUUGCAGUUUUGGAAGAGAGGUUGUUCUCGAUUUGAGUGAAGCAUUCGGCAACAACGUUGCGGAAGAGAGGAAGAAACAGUUGCUUCCUGGAGGCGAUGGUGCUGAUGAAGAAGCUCUUGAGUGCGGCGUGGGCGGGCUCGUGGGUGUCGAGGUAGGCGCAGACGCGGUAGCCGCCUGUGAAGGAGGUGGAAGGCAUGAAGGUGCCGUCAAGAACGUUGCGCUUCUCAACCUUAGAGUUGUCGAAGAGGAUGGGGAAGGAAACAGCGUCCAAGAGAGCUAUGACUCUUGGAUCGGAGGAGAUAAAGGGGCCAGGUGGCAUGUUAGUACGGAUGACGGUGGAGUUAUACUUUUGGAUCUUGGAGAGGAAGAAGGUGUCGCGGCCUUGGUGGUAGAAGUAAUCGUGGCGGUCCUUUAUGGGUCCGAAGAAGGGAAGGCCGUAGGUUCCGGGGAUGGUUCUGAGUGGCUUAUUGAUAAUCUUGUUGGUAGAAGCCAUUGUUAAGGCCAGGCUACGGAAUGAUGUAUUAUUUUUGUUUUAUUUUGAUACGAAUAAUGGAGUGGGAACGAUAAAUGGUCCUAUAUAUAUAUGUUUGAAGUAGCAGCUACAUGUUAGUAGUCAUUGUCUAUAAUUCUCUUUCUUAUUUAUUUAUUUAUGAUUAAUCCCCUGAGACUAUAAAUAUUAAUAAUAGAAUGUAAAAAUUCAGGUACAAUUGAUUUUAUGUGAAAUUAAUAAUUGAAAGUGUUUUAUGUGAAAUUGAUAAUUGAAGGUGAUUAAAUGAUUUGAUUGAUUUGACUAAAUUUUCAUUUAAUAAUUUUUAACUAUCAAUUUUACUUAGAAGUCGACUGCACUUGAGUUUCCAGCUUAGUAAAAAUAGCAAGUUGAUGGAGGAUAAUUAUCAAAUGAGAAUUGGUUUGGUCAGUAGUGGUGCCUAUUGGCUGCUGCUACGUCGACCGUCGAGGUGGCAACUAAAGAAUAUUCACGGACAUGCCGCCGUGCAUGCCAGCCACCUUAGCUAGCUCCCGAAAUUUAGUGAAAAUAAUAAAAUGCGACUAGAAAUGAUAGAAAUUAGUAAACUUGGGUAAUUAGUUAGUAAUAUUUAAAAAUGUAUUNNNNNNNNNNNNNNNNNNNNNNNNNNNNNNNNNNNNNNNNNNNNNNNNNNNNNNNNNNNNNNNNNNNNNNNNNNNNNNNNNNNNNNNNNNNNNNNNNNNNNNNNNNNNNNNNNNNNNNNNNNNNNNNNNNNNNNNNNNNNNNNNNNNNNNNNNNNNNNNNNNNNNNNNNNNNNNNNNNNNNNNNNNNNNNNNNNNNNNNNNNNNNNNNNNNNNNNNNNNNNNNNNNNNNNNNNNNNNNNNNNNNNNNNNNNNNNNNNNNNNNNNNNNNNNNNNNNNNNNNNNNNNNNNNNNNNNNNNNNNNNNNNNNNNNNNNNNNNNNNNNNNNNNNNNNNNNNNNNNNNNNNNNNNNNNNNNNNNNNNNNNNNNNNNNNNAUUGGUAGAAAUCUGGUAAAUAAAAAUCUUAAAGAUUAUAAAUUCACAUUCUUAUCACUAUAUUUUAUCUAAAAUUUAGUAUUUCAAACUACAAGCUCUUAGCAUAUCUAAUAUAACCGACUGUUUUUCACUAUUAAAGACAAUUUUGUGUGACCUUUUUUCAUUCAAAUAAACCAAACAAAAUAAACAUAUAUUGAUGAAUAUUUGCUGAGAAAGCCAGCCAUCUUUCCUAACCCUAAGGCUUCCCUUCUGGCCUCCAUUGAUCAAUGCAUUAUGUAAUGAGCCACGUAUAAACACCAUAGUAGUAACCACGUCAAUGCGAAAAUGGUGUAAAGGAUGCAAGUAACUUAUAUUUUAAAUUUUAGAAACUAAAUCAAUUCUUAAAUUAUUUUAUGUAUCAGGUUGAUGCAAGUAACUUAUUUUAUUAUUUCAGUAUAAAACUUUGCGUUCAAUUUUUACUCUAAGUUGUAAGUUAUCAAAAUGAUAGACUCAAAUCCACUAAUUAUUUAAUUAAUUAAUUCAUUAUGCUAAUAUUAAUUAAAUGCUAUGGUCCUCUUAAAAUAAUGGUCGAAUCCUGAAAAGAUGUUAGAUUGCAGAUACACGUUUCUGAAUUCUUUUCCCCCAAAGACUAUAAUUUAUAUGACUAAAAAAACAUUUGAAAUAAUUAACAGAGGGGAGCAUAAUUAUUGAGAGGGAAUGUGUUUAGUACUUUAGUGCCCGUGACAAAUAAAGAAUAGAAAAGUAUUAAUAGACAGGUUUUCUGGGUUUGUGGGCCACAUCAUUUCAUGCCAGCCAGCUACUAAGAAUUGUUAUUAGUACCAAUUUAUAAAUAUUAUUUGGAUUUAGUUAAAAACAAUCUCAAAUUCAUUACUAGGGUGAAUGCAGAUUGAAUCGGAUUGGAUAUUGUCAAAAUUUCGAUUCGAUUUGUAUUAAAAUCAUCGGAUCGGAUCCUAUAUCCACAGUUUUUAAGUUUGGAUCCGAUCCAAUUCACACAUUUGCGGGUCGAAUCGGAUCGGAUCAAAUACCUAUAUCCGCAAAACACAAAAAUAUUUAAAAAACUUAUUUUUAUUAAAAAACAUAUUAAUAAAUUUUUUUUCUAUUUUUUUAAAUAUGUUUACUCUUAAAAUAAUAUUAAAUAUACAUUUAUUAAAUAAUAAAUUAAAAUAAUACAACAUAUAUGAUAAUGAUUAGUUAAAAUAAAAUAUAAAAAGAAAAUUUAUUUAUUUAUUUCUUUAUUUUUGCGGAUAUGCAAAUAUCCACACAAAAUCCGCACUCCGACCCAAUUAGUAUGUGGAUCUGAUCCGACCCAAUUUGAUAGUCUUGCGGAUCGGAUCUAUAUCCGCAAUUUUCGAAUCAGAUUCGAAUAAAUAUGCGAAUCGAAUCUGAUCCAUGAGCACCCCUAUUCAUUCAUUAGGUAAGGUGUUUGUACUGAAAUAUUAAAUUUUUCAAAAUAUUUAUCAUAUAAAGAAUACAUACAACUAUCUUAAAUAACUAAUCUUAACUAGUACCUUAUUUAAAAUGUUUAUUAGCAAUAUUCAUAUUAUUUUUAUUAUAUCUUAUUCAUAUGAUUUUUGCUGUACAAUUAGCCACAUCUUUUAUUAAUAUAUGGAUAAGAUAUACAUAAACUUCAAAUAGCUAUAAAUAAAUAAAUGCAUUCAAAUAAUAUUGUAUAUUCGUAAUAAGUGAAUCUAUUGUGUCCGACAAUGAUUUUAUAGAGAGAGAGAAAGAAAAAAGUUAUAACAGAAAAGAUGAAGAGAAUAAAAAAGUGAAUAAUUAAUCCACUUAUGAAUUCAUUUUUUUUUUUAAUAUUAAAUUCAUCUAACAAUAUUGAUCAUAUACAUUAUUAAAUAUUUUUUUUCUGGUCGUGAUGAUAUUAUUAAGUUUUGUUAAUAAUANNNNNNNNNNNNNNNNNNNNNNNNNNNNNNNNNNNNNNNNNNNNNNNNNNNNNNNNNNNNNNNNNNNNNNNNNNNNNNNNNNNNNNNNNNNNNNNNNNNNNNNNNNNNNNNNNNNNNNNNNNNNNNNNNNNNNNNNNNNNNNNNNNNNNNNNNNNNNNNNNNNNNNNNNNNNNNNNNNNNNNNNNNNNNNNNNNNNNNNNNNNNNNNNNNNNNNNNNNNNNNNNNNNNNNNNNNNNNNNNNNNNNNNNNNNNNNNNNNNNNNNNNNNNNNNNNNNNNNNNNNNNNNNNNNNNNNNNNNNNNNNNNNNNNNNNNNNNNNNNNNNNNNNNNNNNNNNNNNNNNNNNNNNNNNNNNNNNNNNNNNNNNNNNNNNNNNNNNNNNNNNNNNNNNNNNNNNNNNNNNNNNNNNNNNNNNNNNNNNNNNNNNNNNNNNNNNNNNNNNNNNNNNNNNNNNNNNNNNNNNNNNNNNNNNNNNNNNNNNNNNNNNNNNNNNNNNNNNNNNNNNNNNNNNNNNNNNNNNNNNNNNNNNNNNNNNNNNNNNNNNNNNNNNNNNNNNNNNNNNNNNNNNNNNNNNNNNNNNNNNNNNNNNNNNNNNNNNNNNNNNNNNNNNNNNNNNNNNNNNNNNNNNNNNNNNNNNNNAACAAAGUUUUAAAAUUUUUUAUUAAUAAAUAUAAAAUAAAUAUAUUAAAAAUUUAAAUUUUUUAUAAUUUUAAUAAAAAAAUUUCGAUUGUAAUUUUAAUAUAUUUGUUAGAGUAAAAGAUAUAUAAAUUUUAAUUUAAAAAAACAGAAACAAGAAAGUGGCCCACGUUGUAAGAAUUUCUCACCUGAUUACCACAAAAUCCAAGUGUUAAGAACUUCUAAGUUCUUACCUGAUAAUUCAACUUAUUAAUUCACGAAAAAUUUUUCUUAAUUUACGGGUUUUUCUUAUCGAUUUAAAUUAAAAAAAAAAACAAUUUUAUGAAAUACUGAAUCUAAAUUAAAUAUCUGAAUAUUCACUAUUUCACGACAAUAAUAUUGAAUAGAAAGAAGAAGAAAUAAAAAAAAUAAAAGUAAAAUAUCUACAAGAAAUAAUGAUGGAAGAAUCAAUCAGGAAGCAUAUAUAGUCAAAGUGCAUCGAUGGUUUUUUGUCAUAAAUAUUUUUGUUUUUUUAAAUUUAGGAAUUAUUUGAAUAAAAUUGUAGAGAACAAAUUGAAGAUACGAUGUUGACGUCAUCUUUUUAUUUCAAAUUCUCAAUGUUUUAAGUUCGUCAUUCUCAAUGGUGGGAGUGUUUUUACAAGGACUUCAAUAUUCAAAUUAGCAUGGUUCGCAAGAAGAACUAAGUUAAUUAGAGAUCAUAUCUUAGUGCACGUAUUUAGAAUAAUGCAUAUAUUGUGAAGUUGUGAUAUCAUGAGUUCCUUUCCUUAUAUUUUGAUAGAGACUAUGAGUUGGCUUUUAAAUUAAGUUUAUAUAAAAAAAUAAAUUACUAUUUUUAUAAGUUAAUAAUAGUUCGUUAAGUUCAACAAAAGGAGUGAAAUGAUUUCCUUUUUGUUUUUGGGUCAAGAAGUGACCAAAAAUAGUUGAUGAGAAAAAUAAAAACGAAAUUGAAUAUCCCUUAGGGCUUCUGAUCUGUUGAACUAUGUAUUUUUGGAAGGCCUAUUCGUACAUAUAUGUGCAAAGGAAUUAAUUUAAGAGAGUAGAAAAUAACGGGUCCAAAAAGAGAUUACUAAAUCAUAUACAUAGUUAGNNNNNNNNNNNNNNNNNNNNNNNNNNNNNNNNNNNNNNNNNNNNNNNNNNNNNNNNNNNNNNNNNNNNNNNNNNNNNNNNNNNNNNNNNNNNNNNNNNNNNNNNNNNNNNNNNNNNNNNNNNNNNNNNNNNNNNNNNNNNNNNNNNNNNNNNNNNNNNNNNNNNNNNNNNNNNNNNNNNNNNNNNNNNNNNNNNNNNNNNNNNNNNNNNNNNNNNNNNNNNNNNNNNNNNNNNNNNNNNNNNNNNNNNNNNNNNNNNNNNNNNNNNNNNNNNNNNNNNNNNNNNNNNNNNNNNNNNNNNNNNNNNNNNNNNNNNNNNNNNNNNNNNNNNNNNNNNNNNNNNNNNNNNNNNNNNNNNNNNNNNNNNNNNNNNNNNNNNNNNNNNNNNNNNNNNNNNNNNNNNNNNNNNNNNNNNNNNNNNNNNNNNNNNNNNNNNNNNNNNNNNNNNNNNNNNNNNNNNNNNNNNNNNNNNNNNNNNNNNNNNNNNNNNNNNNNNNNNNNNNNNNNNNNNNNNNNNNNNNNNNNNNNNNNNNNNNNNNNNNNNNNNNNNNNNNNNNNNNNNNNNNNNNNNNNNNNNNNNNNNNNNNNNNNNNNNNNNNNNNNNNNNNNNNNNNNNNNNNNNNNNNNNNNNNNNNNNNNNNNNNNNNNNNNNNNNNNNNNNNNNNNNNNNNNNNNNNNNNNNNNNNNNNNNNNNNNNNNNNNNNNNNNNNNNNNNNNNNNNNNNNNNNNNNNNNNNNNNNNNNNNNNNNNNNNNNNNNNNNNNNNNNNNNNNNNNNNNNNNNNNNNNNNNNNNNNNNNNNNNNNNNNNNNNNNNNNNNNNNNNNNNNNNNNNNNNNNNNNNNNNNNNNNNNNNNNNNNNNNNNNNNNNNNNNNNNNNNNNNNNNNNNNNNNNNNNNNNNNNNNNNNNNNNNNNNNNNNNNNNNNNNNNNNNNNNNNNNNNNNNNNNNNNNNNNNNNNNNNNNNNNNNNNNNNNNNNNNNNNNNNNNNNNNNNNNNNNNNNNNNNNNNNNNNNNNNNNNNNNNNNNNNNNNNNNNNNNNNNNNNNNNNNNNNNNNNNNNNNNNNNNNNNNNNNNNNNNNNNNNNNNNNNNNNNNNNNNNNNNNNNNNNNNNNNNNNNNNNNNNNNNNNNNNNNNNNNNNNNNNNAUAAUAGUUCGUUAAGUUCAACAAAAGGAGUGAAAUGAUUUCCUUUUUGUUUUUGGGUCAAGAAGUGACCAAAAAUAGUUGAUGAGAAAAAUAAAAAGAAUAUCCAAUAUCCCUUAGGGCUUCUGAUCUGUUGAACUAUGUAUUUUUGGAAGGCCUAUUCGUACAUAUAUGUGCAAAGGAAUUAAGAGUAGAAAAUAGAAAAUAACGGGUCCAAAAAGAGAUUUGAAUUUAAUUAUACGUUUCUAAUGAAAUGUGAUAAAACACUAACAAAUGAAGAAGUUUGUCAAAUAUUGUAAUUAUAUUAAUUUUAGUUUUUAGUAUUGAUAAUAAUGCUCUUUCUAAUUUUCACGUUCUCUUUUAUUCUAUCACACCAUACGUGAAGUACAUUUGCAAGAAUGAGUGAUUAUACGUUUCUAAUGAAAUGUGAUAAAACACUAACAAAUGAAGAAGUUUGUCAAAUAUUGUAAUUAUAUUAUAUAUUAAUUUUAGUAUUGAUAAUAAUGCUCUUUCUAAUUUUCACGUUCUCUUUUAUUCUAUCACACCAUACGUGAAGUACAUUUGCAAUAGAUGAGAAUGAGUGUUAUCUCAUGUCAUUGUUAUAACGUACAACACAAUUACGUUUGAUUAAGGUUGUUAUCUAUGUUUGAAUUUGACUUCAAAUAAUCCUAGCUAGCUAGAUGCUUUAUUUGUCAACUAUUAUAUGUAUAACUGAGAAUUCCAAAGGGCUCAAGAAUAAUGAAAUUAUUAUUUGAUUGAUUUCAUCCAUAUUCAUGAAUGUAUCAUCACAACAUGUACAACAUUAUCCUCAACGUUUGUUUUUGUCGAGUGUUUAGGCAGCCGACACGUGUCUAACUUCAACUCUAUUCCCUUGCCCGUGAUAUUCCUUUAAACACUUGUCCAGCGCAGCCAUACUAUGCACCAAAGGAAAUUAAUCAAUGAUAUAUAUUAAGCCAAUAACUUAACGAUAUUAUUUGAAAAAAGUAUAGAUAGACAAUAAAAAUACUAAACAAUGUGAAUAACUGAUAUAUCGAAUGUUUAUUUUAUUAGGUGUACGGAUAGUUGUUCUAAUAUUAAAAUUUAGGUGAAUAAUUUGAAGGUGUAGUAUAUUUUAAUUUGAUUAGUAAUUAUUUAUGUUAUUCAAAAAAGUUAUUGAAUACCUAACAUUACCCUAUUAUUUGUAUGUUUAAUUUUAUUUCCACUUCAUAAAAAGUGACAAAUCAAAGCAAGAAAUUAAAAGUCUAGGCUCAAGCAAAUGUAGGGUGUUAUCAGUUCGGUUUGGUUUGGUUUUGGACAAAAAACCAAUUAAAUCGAUAUGUUCGGUUUUUAUAGAUACACAAUCGUUUGGUUUGUUGUUUUUACAACAAUCGAAUUGAAUCAAUAGCGGUUUGGUUCGGUCAAUUUUUUCGAUUUUUAAUUCCUAAUGAAAAGAAUAUAAAUCACAAUAAUUAGAGGUUCAAAAUAGUCAAUAAAUUGAAAUAAUAAGAAUAAAACAUUGAAAUGGUUAGGGGUUGAGGAUUUUUGUUGUUAGGUUAAAGGUUAAAAUGAUUAAAACAUUGAAAUGUAUGCAUAUAUUCGGUUCGAUUUUUAUCAAACCAACCGAAAAUCGAGCCGAAUCGAUCGGUUUUGUCAGAAAAAACAAAAAAAAAGACAAUUUUUUUCGGUUUUUAAGUCGGUUAUUGUAAUUUUCGAUUCAAUUUUGCAGUAAUUUUCGGUUCGGUUUGGUAACUUACACCCCUAACCGAAUGUAUAUAUGCAUGCAUGACACUAACAAUAAAUAAAAAAAGUUUUAGUAGUAUAAUUGCAACAACCAAUAUUUUAAGAGAAAUGUUAGGGAGCCAGCAAUUUUUGUGAUUUAUAGCCAUCAAAUAGCUAUCAAUAAUAGUUUUAAUGGUGUGAGAUUGGAUCCAAUAACUCACUUUUCUUUGCUGAUUACAUGCUGACCAAAAUUUAAUAAAGUUACUGGUCCUAGACUUUUCCAUAUUUUAAUUUGGACCUACUUUCAAAUGAGUUGUUACAUUGGGAAUUUGUAUAAAUGGGGACAGACAAAAUAGCUUGUUGGAAUGACCAAUGAAGAAUAAGUUGUUAAAUUGAGAAAUUUUUUAAUAAUUAAUUAUUUGUUUGAAUCGAACUGGUCAAAUGAUCAGUGUUUAAUUAAUCUAGUUGAAUUGACUAAUUCAACUCCAUUCUCAACACCAUAUUCUUAACCCUAUCAUUAACUUCUAAGAUUGGCUUCAUAAAGAAGCGACGGCAAUCACAUAUAUUUCCCAUAUAAACCUAAUAUUUUUAAUGCAUUUUGAGAAAUGUAAAAGGUGAUUGACAAGAAUAUACAUCUCACCACUAGUUCCGUUUCGGAAUUGCUAAAUCUAAGAAAUUGAUAAGAUUUCGCUUAUAUUUAGUCAAUAUGGUUUAGAAGUCGGUAAAAAUUCAGGUGCAGUUGAUUUUACGUAAAGUUGAUAAUUAAGAGUUAUUAGAUAAAAAUUUAGUCAAAUCAUCUAACAGUUUUUAUAUAUCUACUUUAUGUGAAGUCGACUGUACCUGAAUUUUUACCAUAACUUUAACUUUUGGGUAUACAAAUCUUUUAUUAAUUAAUAUUCGGUCAAUAUAAAUUUUAUAUCUAUAAUUUUUAAAUUUUUAAACAUAUAAGGUUGUAUUUACUAUUUAACAUCUCUUAAUUAUCAACUUUACGUAAAGUUAAUUGUACUUGAUUUAUAUAUAUAUGCCACUUUCUAGAACAAAAUAAAAAAAAAGCCACAUCUUUUGGCCAAGUGUCCAAUACAAAUUUCUAGCCACUCCCGUGACACUAAUCUGAUGAGUGUCAUCCUUGUAAUUAACACCAUCUUAAUUCUUAUGAUCCUCUUUGCUGUGAUUUUGACCUAGCAUAUGUGAGAAGCGUUUACUCUUAUUAUUUUUUGUUAUUUUAACAAUAUAUGGUUUGAUUUUAAAAAUCAUGCACACUACUAUAGCUACGUGACCUUUUAUCACUUUUUAAUAUUGCUUGAUGAAAUGUUUAUUAUUUGGCAAUAAACUAUGACUAAUAACUGGCAUUUGUUAGUUAAUACGUCUCUAAAUGUCAGCAUCAUGUUAUUCUUGACAUUUUAAUUACUUUUCUAGUAAGUUUUUUUUUUUUUUUUUUCUGGAGACCAAUUUUUAAUUUUUUUUUUAGUAAUUUUUUUUUUUUUUUUUUUCCUGAAGACCAAUUUAGUAUAUAGAUUUUGUCAUUUUAAGUUAUUAAAAAGAUGCCUUUAAACACUUCAAUAUAUAACAAAGGCAUCUUCAAUAAUGAUGAUGAUCAUCAUCAGUCCUCGACAAUAUAUAUGCAUGGCAUUUUCAUAUAUAAAUAAAUACCUUUACGCAGAUACACUAUCCAUCUCAUCUAAGAACUCGGUACAAUAAUUAUAUAUUAUAACAACUAUAAGCUUAUUUUAAUAUAUAAGAGUCCAGUAUAGUUAUAAGUCUUGAUUUAGUUUACGUAACUAAAAUAUUUUUAGUUUAUAUAGAAAUACUUAUUAAAGUAGACAUAAUUUAUAUAUGGUGGGAAUGUGGGAUAGAAUUGGAAGGACACCUGCAAGAAUCCGGUGAGAUAAGUGAAGCCCUAACGCAGCUACUAAAGUCAAAAUGUUGGUGAAAUGUUUGGUACAAAGAGCUUUUAAUAUCUACGAUUGCUUACCUCAAUCCUAAAAUAAUAUAAUCUAUGAUGUGCUUUGCAUGGUCCAUAUGCUUUCUUUUCCGGCAAACGCAAUCUAUCUUUUGACAAUACAAGAGUUAUGUUUUCUUCAAAUGUUAUGCUCACGUAUUUGUUAAGGGGAUCCGAAUACUCACAUGAUGAUUAUAUUUUUAUAUGAAGAUGAUAUUGUGAACUUUUAGAUAGUUAACUAAAUAUAUUUAGUCAAACAUAUUAAUUUAUCUAAUGAUAUAUAAUACUAUCGUCAUGUGAAGAUAUCAUUACGAGAAUAUCUACCAUUUGUUAAUACAUCAUAUUAAAUAGAUUUGGAAAAUCUACUUUUUUAAUACUUUAACUUGUGAGAAAAUAAAAUAGAAUUAAUAACAGAAUAUAUAUAUAUAAAAAGGGGAUGCUUCAAUAAAGAUGUUUAAAACGUCUUUUUUAAAGAUGUUUUUCAAUAAUUAAAAUUUAACACAUAUAAUCGAUUAAAUUGUGUUACUUUUUGUUAAAAUUAGGCAGAUAAAUUAAUUUGACCAAAAAAUGGUUAAUCAAAUUUUGAAUCGGUCUAAAUUAAUAUUAUUUUUCAUAAAAAAUUAUUACAAUACCCCUAUUAUAGAAAAUGACUAAAAUACUCUUAUUAUAUAUAUAUUAACUUUAAAAAUUCUAAAUUCUAUCCCUUUUUUUUUUCUUCCGUCGUCAUAGGAUUAGGAUUUAGAGUUUUUUAAUUAGGAAUAUUAUAGUCAUUUUUUAUAAAAAAAAUAUUAAUUUAGACCGCUAGUCUAAUUUUAAUAAAAUAACACAGUUUAAUUAAUUAUAUAUAUUAACAAUUUUAAUUUUUUAAAAAACAUCUUUAAAAAAAGACAUUUUUAACAUCUUUAUCUAAGUGACCUCCAUAUAUAAAACUACUUAAAAUGAAAUAGUUAAGGACUUGGUUUUUGUUAUUAGUUACUCAUAUAUUAAAUUUAAGGUGAAAACUCAGAUGAAAUCGACUUUACAUAAAGUUGAUAUUUGAGAGUAAUUAAAUAAAAAUUUUAUCAAAUUAGUCAAAUCAUUUAACAACUCUCAAGUAUUAACUUCACGUAAAAUCAAUUACACCUGAAUUUCUAUCAUAAAUUUAAAUUAACGGAGUUUUUUUUUUCUUUCGUGUAAAAAAAAAAAAGCGAUGUUCGUUGUAAUCAAACCGAUAUACUUUGUUUUCUUUUUGUUACAAAAAGACUAUUUUAAGUGUGUAAUUACAAAUUCCCAAACAAUUUGUUAAAAGUGAAGCCAAAUUUAAUUAUGAGAAGACGUAUACAAAGAAAUUGUGAUUAUCCCGAAGAGAAACAAAAACUCUGUAUGUAACCACUAACUAACCAAGCAUUACCUAUUCAUACCGGACUUACAAUACACCACACAUUAUGUGGCACCGCCACGUGUCCCCAAUCACUAUUACUCUUCUAUUCAAUGUUCAUGCAUUUCUCUCUCUCUUUCAAUCUCUCUUUUAUUUAUAUAACCUCAUAAUCCAAUCUCACCUCUCCAUUCUCUUAAACAAAUCUCAUACUUUCCUUCUCCCUCUUCUUCAAUUUUUUUAAUUAUUAAUAAAAUCUUGAUUUAAUUCUUAAAUUUUUUAAAAACUAGAAUCAAACACGAAAGUAUCUACCAUGUUUGUUGAUCCAAGCCCAACGUUACACCGGCAAAAGCUUGGAGUCUUAUUGCACUCCGAUCUGCCGUCAUCACCUCACGUCGACCACGACCACGACCUCCAAAGCGAGGAUUCAGACUACUGGAGUCAGCGGCCGAGUAGCGCCUCGGGCGCCACCAGUUCCACCGUCGGUUCUCCAUACAUGACGUCACCAUUGAACUACCAAGGUAACACCUCUCCCUACAACAAAUCGCCAUGGCUUUUGCCGUCUACGCCACCAAAGCAGCUGAAACAGAACUUGAUGACGGUGCGAAACGGGCUGGUCGGGUCGCUGGUAAGGGAAGAAGGGCAUAUAUACUCGCUGGCGGUGUGUGGGGACUUGCUGUACACCGGCUCCGAUAGCAAGAACAUUAGGGUUUGGAAAGAUUUGAAGGACUUUACCGGCUUCAAAUCAAGAAGCGGUUUAGUUAAGUCUAUAAUUAUUUCCGGCAAAAUAAUAUUCACCGGUCACCAAGACGGAAAGAUUAGAAUAUGGAAGGUGUCCCGAACCAACCCAACCAACCACAGGUAAUAACAAAAAGAUGCGUGGAGUUAAUUUUAUAAAUUUGACUAAAUUAUUAUUAAAGUUUUUUAAUUAUAAUUUCAUANNNNNNNNNNNNNNNNNNNNNNNNNNNNNNNNNNAAUUAUGAGAAAAUUUAAUAACAGUCACGUGAAGUUAAUAGUUGAUAAUUUAAUUAAAAGUUGUUAAAUAAUUUGACUAAAUUUUUAUUUAACUAUUUUCGUCAAUCAAUCUCACGUGAAUAUUGUUGAAGUAUUUUUGUUAGUUAGUUUGUGUAUAACUAACUCUAAAACAGUAACUGACUAACCGUUGGGUUGUUGAUGGAACAGGCGCAUAGGGAGCUUACCGACUCUAAGAGAGUACGUGAAGAGCUCCGUGAUACCGAAGAGCAAGGGGAGGCACUACGACGCCGUUUCGAGUCUAAGCCUCGACGAGGACCAAGGCCUCUUGUACUCCGCCUCCUGGGACAAAACCGUCAAGGUAUGGAGCAUUUCCGAUUCCAGAUUCUUGGAAUCCAUUGAAGCGCAUUCCGACGCCGUCAAUGCAGUCGUCGCGGCGUUCGGGUGCUAUGUUUUCACCGGAUCCGCAGACGGCACGGUGAAGAUGUGGCGAAGGGAAUACCAAGGGAAGAAAGGGAUCACCAUGCACGUUCUAGAAGAGGUUUUGUUGGAUCAUGAGAGUGCCGUCACGGCACUCGCGGUCAACCGGUGGUCCAUGGUGCUUUACGGCGGAUCUUCCGACGGAGUGGUGAGGUUCUGGGGAAUGAGAAGGUGUAACAAUAAAAAGCAUGGAUUCUCUCAGGAGGGAGUGCUGAGAGGGCACAAGCUUGCGGUUCUCUGCGUGGCGGUGGCGGGGAACCUUGUGGUGAGUGGCUCCGCCGAUAAGAGCGUUUGCGUGUGGAAGAGAGACGAGGAGAGUGGGAAACACGCGAUGCUUUCGGUUCUUAACGGUCACAGUGGACCAGUUAAGUGCAUUGCAGCUAUACAAGUUGAAGAAGAAGAGGAAAGUUAUGGGUGGAUGGUGUACACUGGGAGCUUGGACAACUCCGUCAAGGUCUGGCGCGUCUUGGAUAACGUGCCGCCGCUUCAGUCGCCGCUGGAAGUCACGGCGGCCCCCGCAAGAAUUAGUGUUAUUAAUAAUAACAAUAACAGGAUAAAGAAAGAUUAUUAUCGUUUCAUUAAAUCAAAAUUAACACGUAAUUUAUGAAUGAAUUCUAUCAUGUUUUUAAUUACUUGGUGCAGUAACUAAGUAUAUUAGCAAUUUAGCAUACAAAAUUUAUUUGUCCCUUUAAUCACAAUUCCAAUCUUUACCCUACUGAAUUAAAAGAUACCUUAGGAAAACAAAAUUAUAAAGGUAGCGUUUGGUGGAGAGACAGAGACGGAAAGACUGAGACUGAGAGACAAAGACUAAAAGAUAGAGAUUGAAAUAAAUUUUAGUAUUCUAUUUGUUGUAAAGUGGGAGACAGAAAUUAAUUAAUUGAAAUAAGAAUAUUUUAGAUAUAAAAUGUUAAAAUUUCAGUUUCUAUCUCUAAAAAUUUGUCUCUUGUGUCUCUAUUUUUUAGAGGUACUGAAAUACUAAAAUUUUGAGGACAAAAACAAAAAAUUUAGUAUCAAUCUCUAAACCAACAAACAUGAUACUAAGUCCAAUCUUUCAUUCUCCUUGUAUCUCAAAACAAAUGGUACCUAACAAACCUUCAAAGUGUUGUCUAAAAUUUGCCUACUUUUGUCUAUAAUCUUAUCUUUUGAAUUUUGUGGAGCCAUGAAAAGAUAAUUAAAAUUUCUCUCAAAGUAAUCAACAUAUUAUAUAUCAUCUUUAAUGAUAAGUCAAACAUAUUUUUACAAGUGUGAACCUACAAUUGAGCGAAAGUAAUUAUUGGAAAUUUGGAAUAACAUUCUUGGUUGUCCUUGUUGAAGAAGGGCUUAAGAUUUUAUGGUGUACAAAUGGUUUUGUUAUUGGAGAGGAGGGUGUUAUGGUAAUUCCAGGUUCCAUUAAUUGAUUGAGACGCAUAGAAAGUUACAUACUUCAUGCAUCUGCCCCCAAAGGAAGGGACUAUUUGUAGCCUGAUAUACUCUGAGAUAACAUUACAUACAUUCAUAUAUACAUAUUAUUGGACAUUGGACAACUACUCAACAAAGCUAGGUGCCAAAAAUGGAAAAGCUAAUAAAGCAAAACGACAUUCUUUGUUUUAAUUGCUGACAAAAGAAAGCUUUAUGGAUGAAUGUAUUGAAGAGAUAAAUACCUUAAAUAUUGCGUUUGAGGAAACGUCAACUCUGGCUAUGUAGUAUAUGUACCAUGGUUGUGAAUGCUACUAAUUUGUUUGGUGUAAUUUAUAAGGUUGGUUUUAUUAUAUUAUAUACAUCAUCUACAGCUUUUUAAUAUAUGAUUAAUCUUGUGUAGCUCAUUUCUUGAAUUUGAAAGGCAUAGAAAAAUAUACCAAUAAUAAGAGAAAAAUGAUAUUUGUAUAUACUUUUAUCUUCCUUUUACAAUAUAAAAGACCAUCUUUUAUCUCCUCAUUUCUUAUUAAUCACUCUUAAUAUAAAAAAAAGNUAAUAAAAUUUAAUUUUAAAUUAUUGAUAUAAAUUAUUAAAUAUAAUAAAUAAAAACUAAAAUUUAUUUAAUUAAUAAAGAGUGCAACAAUGGUUAAAAACAUUUGAAAAUGAGUCAUAAACUAGGGAAACGCUUUUAUGGAUAAUAGCUAUUUUUGCAAUAUCCUGUGUAUUAUUGGACUGAGGAAUUGGGUUAUAGAGGCCCAUAACUUUUCACGCAACAUCUAGAAAGCAACUAUUGUUUCAGCCCAUAAUCUUUUUUUCCCCAUGACAGAAAAAACAUAUGCUUUUUACCCAAAAAAAAAAAAGAAAGAAAAAAUAUAUGCUAUUUUGUCUUUUAUUUUUUCUUUUGGACUUUCUCAGUUUCUCACUUUCUCUUAAGAAAGCAACUCUUCCGUCCCUUUCUCAUCUCAAAGGUCUCGGGCUUAAUUCCUACCAACGGCAACCGAGAAAAAGAAAAAUGGUAAGUAUGUGAGGAACGUGUGGGUAGGGGUGUUCGCGGAUCGGAUCGGAUCGGAUAUGGCCAAAAUUCCGAUCCGAUCCGCACUACAAUCAUCGGAUCGGAUCCAAUAUCCGCAGUUUUUAAGGUUGGAUCCGAUCCGAUCCGAUCCGCACAUUUGCGGAUCGGAUCGGAUCGGAUACCGGAUAUAUCCACAAAACACAAAAAUAUUUUUAAAAGCUUAUUUUUAUUAAAAAAAGAUCAAUAAAAUUUAUUUUUUCUAUUCUUUUAAAUAUGUUUACUCUUAAAAUAAUAUUAAACAUACUUUUCUUGAAUAAUAAAUUAAAAUAAUUUAACAUAUAUGAUAAUUAUUAGUUAAAAUAAAACAUAAAAAGAAUAUUUUACUUAUUUAUUUCUUUAUUUUUGCGGAUACGCGGAUAUGCGGAUCGGAUAUGCGGAUACCAACACAAAAUCCGCAAUCCGAUCCGAUUAGUGUGUGGAUCCGAUCCAUAUCCGCAAUUUUCGGAUCGGAUUCAGAUAAACACCGCGGAUAUGCGGAUCGGAUCCGAUCCAUGGACACCCCUACGUGUGGGUGUGUAUUGUACCUAGGAUUGAGGGUUGUCCAAUCCAUUUGAAGUACCUAGGAUUGGGGGUUGUCCAAUCUCCAUGACCAAAAAAAAAAAAAAAAAACUCAACCAAAAAAGAGAAAAAAGAAACCAACUUGAGUUGAUUAAGUAGUCACUAGUCAACUCACUCGUCCGCUUAAAUAAGUGUCGAAUGUUCGAAUUCUGUCUUGUGCAUGCAUCAAUUCAUUAGCCAGCGAUAAACCCUUAAAUGAAGUUCAGAUCCACGGCGGAUUUUUAAGAUGAACUAUUGAAUAUACAUAGUUUCUUUUUUGUUGUUUUUUUUUUAAUUUUUUUAUUUUAUUUUUUAUUUUUAUUUUUAUUUUUAUUUUUACUAAGGUUAGCAUGUUUGCAAAAUAUCUAUUGAGAUAGUUUCCAUUAUUAAUUGUUAAUUAAUAAUUAAUUAUGAUACUGAUACCUACAAACAAGCCAAUUUAGUCCUUGUCUUCAUGAUAAUUAUGGUAGCCAUUUAGUAAUGAAUGAAAAACAUUAAAUAUCUAUGUAUAUUCCUAUGCCAAACCUGAUAUUUUCUAGGACGACUAUAACAAAAUAUCCAGGCUAGAACAACACUUUAACAUUGACCCCUCUUGAAAUAUCUAAACUUCCAAGCUAAAAAGCAUGGAUACUCAAAUGAAAGAAAAAUAUAUAACAAGAUAGGGGUAUUGAAAUUUGAAAAAGAAAAAACGGCGGAUCUAUAUUCAUCACUUUGUACAUUUUCUUUCAAAUUAUGCUUAUAAUCCUUAUAUUCACUUUGUACAUUUUCUUGCUUUUUUUUUUCUUAUCUUCUAAUCUGUAUUCAAAAUCAAUUUGUCUAAUUAAAAACAUGGCUAAAUCUCUAUAGUGGUCCUGAGAUUCACGACUUUUACUAUUUUAGUCUUUUAGAUUUAAAAUUUACUAUACUGAUCUCCGAGAUCCAGCUCUAGUAACUAUAUUAGUCCUUGAACUCUUUCCAAUUUGAGUCAACGAAUGGAAUGCUAACCUAGCUCAGUAGCUCUGACUUGCCAAACUAGACACAUGACUAAAUAGCGUCUUUUAGUUUUAUAUCUUAAAUAAGACAAAAACAUGGUCAUUUUGGAAAAUGAAUGGAAAUAUAAUGAUUUACACAUCAUAUAAACUCUUCUUCCUCUUCUGAUUUUUGCCGUGUUCAAAUGUCAAAACAAAACGACGUUGUUUAGUCAUGUGUCCAGCAUAGCAAGUCAGAGCCAAUUCAACACUUAGUUUGUUUGAUUCAGUACUAGAAAGGGUCCAAAGACCAAUAUCAUGUCCAAAAAUGAAAUCUCAAAACCAGUAUAGAUAAUUUUGAAUUUGAACGACUAAAAUGGUGAAAACUGUCUGAGGAACUACUUUAAAAAUUUAGUCUUAAAAACAUAUGUCAAUAAUAUUGUAGAGUUAUUUUUUGGUUAAUGUCCACUUGUGAAUGCAUAAGUGUGUUGUCUGAACAGCAAGUUCUCUAAUAUUUCAGAGAAUGCAAACUUAAACUAUGAAUUAAGAUGAAAAUAAAUUAACUUAAAACUUUUAUGUUUUGCAUAGCUAAAUAACAAAUCUUUUAUUAUAUUUUAUUAGUUUUUUAAAAUGAAAAAUAGCAAAAAAAAAAAGUUUUCAGUGUAAAACAUGAUCCCUUACCAUGUACAGAAAUUUCCACGGUUUUGGAUAAUCUUAUUAAUUAACUUCAAUUAUCACCAAAAAUCCUUUUAAGGAUAUGGUUGGGAUGAAAAUUUUCAGUUACUAAUUACAAACUUUGGAAGGAAAAAAUGCCAAUUACUGAAAACUACACGAAUAGUUUUUCAGUUUCUUGCUUGGUGAUUGUAAUUGGAUUAUCCAAUAAAGUAAGAGCAACUAAUUAAACCAAUGACGUUAUAGUUUCUAUAAUAUACGAAUAAUGUUGUUAUCUAUCUGAGAAUCUAAAAGUGAAUACCAGAGAACUUAAAAAAUCAUAAUUCAGAUAUUGGAGUAGGAGUUAUAUAAACAUAGUAGUUUUCAUAAUAACAGAAUUUUCGUUACAAUUUUCUUAGUGUAUGGCAUAUACAUAUAGAUAGAAUGAACAAGACAUGUUUAGCAAUUAAUAAUCAGCAAGGAACAAAUCUAUCCAUAAGCAAAGACACAGUUUCCUCUGACAUGGUUGAUACCUCUCUCUGAACAGCCACCAUCUCCUUUUGAGAUUCCCUUUUCAUUGCUUUCUCUUCUUUAGCUUUAUUAUUGGCUGCCACUACUUUCUCUCUAAGCUUUGUUAACUCCCACAUCCAUGCUUCUACCAUUGCAGACAUUUUUUUUUUUGGCAAAUCACUUAAGAGUUUUCUCUUAUUUGUUGAGAGCUUUGUUUUCUGUUUUGAAAUGAAGGUUGGAAUGCAAAUGGUAUGGUUUAUAUAAGGGAAUGAAUAGGAAUAGGAAUAGGAAUCGGAAUAGGAAUAAUAGGAACAGGAAUCUUGGGAUAUACUCAAAAUCUAGAAUAUUAUUCUUUUCUAGAUUUAUAUUGGCUGCCUAAUGCAAAUUUUUCAUGAGUGGUGGAUAUUCAUUCAAUUUCAUGAUUUUCUCAUCUUGUCACAUGUGGCAUCGUGGAAGAAUCCAUAGCCUAUUANNNNNNNNNNNNNNNNNNNNNNAGAGUUAUUAUUAUUAUUAUUAUUAUUAUGAGUCAAUCAUGCAUUGAUGAUUAUUUGAUAUCAACAAUGCUAUAUGGUCAGCAAAUAUUAUUAUUUUGAGUAAAUACUUGGCCAACAAUAAUUUGCACUUAUAUUUAUAGAGGUUUGCACACAAAAAACACAUAAUUUGUACAUAUAUUUACCAGAGUUUAUAUAGACGAGUCAAUACAUUUUGUACCUAUAUUAACAUUUGCCAGAUUUUACACACGUGAAUUAAUAAGAUUUUUUUGUUAAUGACAAUUUGAUGUUUAUGCUACCAAAUACUAGUCAAAAUUGCUAAACUCUGCUAGCUCUAAAGAGUUUCUGAUUUGAUAUAUAUUAGCCAUUCAUAAACAGUUACAAUAACAACAAAGUCGAAUCUGUUAUGUGUGUCGACUAUAUGAAUCAAACGAUGUUAUUGCAUCAUGUCAUAUAUUAUAUUUGUGAUAGAAAUUUAGGUAUAGUUAACUUCAUGUGAAGUUGAUAGUCGAAAGUCGUUAAAUAAUUUGACAAGUUUGACUAAAUAAUAAAUUGUCAUCUAACAUCUCUCAAUUAACAAUUUCACGUGAAAUUAACUACAGCUGAGUUUUCACCUAUACUUGCAAUGAACUCAUUUUUGUUUAGGCCUCAUAAGAUCAACUCGUUCAAAAUCUUCUUAGAUCUUCAACAAUUAUAAAUGAAGUGUCGUGAGGGAAAUAAUAAGCAAGUAAUAACAAAAGAUAAGUCUUUAGUGAGUGUAAUGUUAACAAUGCAAGCUGAUUAAGAGUUUUGUUUGGCAUGCAUUGGUUUGGUCCCCCCAUUGGUCAAGAAAGGAAAAUUCUUUAUUUCUAUUAGGACAAAUUAAACAUAGGAAGUGACAAGUGAGAGCCACAAAAUGAAGAGGGUGGUGGUGAAACAGGACAACCUAAUGGUCCUGUUUUUGUGCUGUCAAAGUGUGCAAGUGCAUGUAUACGAGUUUGAGAAGAAAACGUGCUUCUUUUACAAGCAUACAUUCAUACAUACAUACCCACUUUCCACCCGCUUUCUAUCAUUUGUUUGUUUCUUACAGUCAUUACAUAGCCUUAAAUACCAAAUUUAUGAACGAAUAAAGAAUAUUCAUUAGAAGCAUUUCACUCUGUCACAAUACAAAAAUCUUGAUAAUCAACAAGAUAAAUGAUUUUUCUGUACAUAAUCUAAGUUUACAAAACUACGCCCUAUGUUCCCAAGAUGCAAAUUAAAACAAAAACCAUUGAUCAUGGCAGCUUUUCUUGCUUAAAGAAUGAAUAGUAGCCAGCAAAUAAAGCCAUAUAUCAAUGGCACCACUAGAGGGGGAAAAAUGGUCUUGUCUUCCUACUAUGACGAUCUGAUCUUUAGCAUAAGUGACACAUUCGAUAGGAUGGCCAACAAGGAGGUCUAUACAGGUUGGUGAACAUGCAUAUUCUCAUGAACACUCAUGACAACAUUCCGCAACUCCGGAAAUAUAGAUAUAAGUAGAAGUUCAAGGAUUGCAUAAGCAAGUUGCUUCACACAUAUAGAAGACUAGAAUGAAACAAGACACAGCAUAAUUGUUAGUUUAGAUUAAGAUAAGCAAAAUGCACAAGUAGACAAAACAAAAUGACAAAGCAUAGAAAAAAGUUAACUUAUAUGAAGUGUUGAAUAUAAUACUAUUUAUGUUCUUUACCCUACGGUUUUAACUCUAAUUAAGAAGAGAUAGUUCAUAAAUAACACAAACAAGUGAAUGCAAUAAUGGCAAAGAGCUUAACCUGGCUAAAGUAAUAUAUGUCACUGGCGCAACGUCUAUAUUGUUUCGCACCAAUUAAGCUCACCAAGGCUGCCGGAGCUCCAUCUGAUAAAAAUGAAGGCAACUUUAUAUUUUAUAAUAUGACAAGUUGCGGUUAUUUGAAUCAUGAGAAUGGAAAUGCUGUUCGAUUCAACUCUGAGAAUGUUCUUAAGUAUAACCCGAAGAAUUAAUUUAUAAACAAUGAGUGACAUAACAUUUUAAAAGGUUCCUCCGCGACAAUGAAAUCAGUUGCUUAUAACAUUUUCAUAACAUUUUAAUAAGUUCAAGAGGAAACCUCUCAAACUUGUAAGAAUAAUAAAAUCAGUAGGAAAACAUUUUUGUCUCCUUUUAACAGGGAUACAAGUUUGAAGAAAAUAAGGGGGAAAAGAAGUGCAAACAGACUAUCUAAGAGAAUUUCAAAAGAAUUAACAAAGGACUAACCAAAGAGCAGUUUCUUGAGUUCACUUGCUCUACGAGCAGCUUCAAGCUGUUGCUCGAAAGACCCUGACUCUGUUCUUGGAAUCUUGCUUCCAACAGAUUCAUUUGUUUCUUGCAAUGGCUUUUGAUCAAUUCCAUCCAUUAAUAUCUGGGCUGUCCGUACUCUUAGGAAAAAGGUACCUCCAGGCCACAGGAUCUGCAAUUGAUCAAACCACUUAAAAAAUGGAACACUACCAAAAGAAAUUGUUAGCUAUUUUUUUCAUUCUACUUUUUUUUUUCCUGGAUAGAGUUACAGUGACCGAUGUUCAAGUAAGUAAGUGUCUGUUUGAUAACAUCAAUGUUAUUAUUGUCAUGUAUUCAUCUUAUGUCACUGUGUUAUAAGUUAAAACUUAAAAAGGGUACAAAAAAUCGAGUGUGAAAAUUUUAAAAUAAUGCUGAAUAAUCCUUACAUCUUGGAGCCACCGAAUCCCCUGGGCAAUGGUAUCCUCUCUCCGAAGCCAAUGGAUCUCUCUUAGAAUCCAAUCAUCAAUAGCAUCUUCCAUUACCAACUGUAAUAUCUGCUUUGAUAUCCAAAAGACUUGUCUUCUGCAACAAAAAUCAACUAGCACUAACAAUUAAUAAUUGUUUUGAUCUUACAAUAUCUUAACAUAAGCAUAUUAAAUUUAUAAUCUUGAUGCUAUCUUAAUUAUAGAAAUAGAAGGCAUUUUAAAUGAAAAGGUCGAUUGAAAUCUAGUAUGAGUCAUACCACUACGUUUAUUAUAUACAAAAGACGGUUAUAAUUGAACAACAAAAAUACUUAAAAGAUAAUUUGAAAUUUACAAAUACGAUGAAUGUGUUUAAAUCAAAUAUAAUAUCCUAACAAAUCUGUUCUCCAUCAAUUAUAUCUUCAGAUUUAACUCAUGACAUGACAUAAUGAUUGUUUAAACCAUGUAAUUGAUUCCACCUAGUAAGCUACAAGAUUUUGAAAUCUAUUUAAGCCCUAGCUUAUUUAGGCACAUGGUGGAUAAAACAUGAAGUUACAUAAGUAAUUAUGGUAAAUGAUUCUUGAUAGCACCAUCAUCCAAGUGAAACUGAAAAGAAAGCUAUUUUGUUACAACUUUCUCAUAAACAACCAGGAAGAAUAAGUUUUGGAUAAAAGCUAUGAAAAAAUUACAUCAUAUCUCUUUUAUUUGUUUAUUUCUCAUAACAUCAAACAAAUAACCGUAUAGGCAGUAAACUAAGCAUAGUUCAAUUACAGUAACUGACUUGAAAAUUUUGAAAUACAAGAUAGAGAAUUAAUUUACCUUAACCAACCUCUUCUCUUAAGCUGAAAUACAUUAUCAACCAAAUUCAAAAUAGGGACACUCACGUUAGGUGGAGUCCACUGCAAAAAUGGUUAAAGUAAGUGUCUGCAAUUAAUGUUUAAAUCUAAGCAUACAAACAAUGAUAAGUAACAAUAAUUUAGCAUAUUAUACCCUUGUCAACAAAGAUGUGAAGUGCAGAAACAUACCUCAGGUGGCACUCUAACUCGAUCCUCCAAAUUAUCAUGAGCCGGAGUGAAAUUUGUAGGUGGAAGAUCCUUGCCAACCCUACUUUCCAUUGUUGAGUCAUUUUUUCUAUCUGGAUCCAAGAUGGUAGACUCUUUACUAUGGUUUAUUACCUGUGGUGAACAACCCUUUGAGUUCAAGUCAUUGUCAAAACGCCACCUAAUAUCUUCUGAUAUUUCACCAUCAAAAUUAGUUUCUUUGUCACCUUCUUCAUUAUCAGAGGUUGCUGCACUUUCUGCAGAAAUCUGCCUAGAAAUGCUACUAUCAAUUUCAACAUUAGUAUUCCAGGACGUGUUCGAGUUCCAUGCGGCUGAUGCACAAGUUUCAGCAGUAGGGGGCGACGAACCAACGACCUUUUGUAAGAAACCACUUGACACACCUUUAAACUGGCGCAUAAUAUCAUCAACAGCAUCAUCAACGUUUACUGCAAAUAUAUAAAUUAGUUCAAAACAUUACAUACGGAAUUAGUAAUACAUAGGACACGCCCAAUCUAAAACCUUAGAUUAGGAUUUAAUUUAAUAUGAUGAAAAAGCAACGAGUGGCUGAUGAAAGGUUCUGAAAAAAUGGCACCUUAAAUUUCAGUACAAUCUUCUGAUUAAGCCAUUAAUGGAAACACUAUUCUAAUUUCAGGAUAUGUAAAAAUUCAUUAGGAGGAUUUUCUAAAAUAAAAUAAAGCUAGAUUUAAUAACAACAAACGAAUAUCCAUAUUAAAUAAUAACAAACGAAUAUUCAUAUUAAAAAAAAUAUAUUGCAAUAAAAAUUCCACAACUCAUUCACCAUUAUAAUAGCAAAAAGAGAACCCAAUUCAUAACUGCAACAAACAUUCAAAAUUUUAAAACUAUAUAUACCUGCUAAGGUUCUCAUCAUUGAUGAAGAUUGUCCAAAAGAAUAGUUCUUCGGUCAAAGGAUACGAACAAAAAAUAGUUUGUUAGGUUGUUAUCUUUCACAUUGUGCCAAUAAAACUCGCUAUUAUGAAGUUAUGGUAAGAAUUCUAGGAAGAUGCAGACCUUUGAGGAAGCACUCAAAAAAUCCCAUACUUCAUGUUGUUCAGCAACAUUAGGUAUUGAUAGGAGAUCCUAAAGCGGAUGCAUUAAUCUAGUUAUUGGAAAAUUACAAAGGAAAUAUUUCUUUAAAGAGUUGUAGUCAAGGAAUGAGAAUACCUGGAGAUAUUUAUCCAGUCGAAUACAACGUUGAUGGACAAAGGCAUCCUCUAUGCUUGAGGAAAAUAUCCUUUUUGGAGGCAAUUGUAGCGUAUAAUUAGGAAUUUCUUUUAGAUAUCUAUGCAAGCGCUCAAAAUUCCUGUAUCUGAAUGUUAACAAAAAGAAAGUUUGGUUAAUUGAUGUCAGGCCACAAAUAUAAAUAGGGAAUGAUUUUGAAACUCAUCAUAUGCAUUCACUUUGUUUGGAAAACAUAAAAUUUAAAACGACUAUGGCAUAUGCACUUAAACUAUUAUAGAAAUGAAUGAAAGAAGCAAACUUUCUACCUUCUUUUUACAAACCAUGUUUUCUCUAUUCCAUCAGUCACUGCAAUUGAAUAAACAGCAAAAGAUGUAGACCCUAGUUUCUCAAAAUAUGCUCCUAUUACCUACAACAUACAAGUAGCAAUAAAUAACAAUCGAACUAAAUAAAAACAAGUAUUCGUGGUGCAAAGAAGUUCCAUCUAUAAAACCUAAAUUAGUUGUUAUUUGUAAAAGCAUAUAACAAUCAAAUUCAUAGGCAAUUUGAAAAUAGUAUAUAUUUUAUUAGCUAUAACUUUUACAAUCUAAAUUGCAUACCCGACAUCGAGGCUUUGGAACAGAUUGUCCCUCUCUUCUAACAGCAGUGUCAUAACCACUCUUAACACGAGUGAUCUCACCAUGCUUCUCAUUUUCUGAGAUAUGUAACUCUGACAUUGUGGACCCUGCUUUAACAGGUUGGAUUUCCAAGCCAGAAGUGCUGUUGGAUCUCAUGAGUGUUCUUUUAUACUUAUUGGAAACGGGAUCCUUCAUAUCCUUCACUUCAUCAAUUCGAUGUCCGGCUUCAAGAGAUGACUCCUUGUCCUGGUUUGGUGAAGAUUCUGCUCUUUGUGGGCUUCCAGCAUAAAACUGGGGAUCUAAACUGGUUGUAUGUACUGGAUAAAGUGAAGGCUUUCCUUCUGAAUUCUUUCUCGUUUUGUAAUCCCUUCCUUUUGUCCACAAGUUCUCAAGAUUUUCAGGCAUAAGAACUUCGGUUCUUCUUUGAGUUGCGGCGUCCAGCAAUUGUGCCCAUUCUGCAGAGGCGGGAUGAUUAUCAUGUCCACCUCCAGAAGCAACAGAAUGGCCAUGAUUAUGAGUGGAUAUAUUAGUUGACUGACCACCAUUACCACCACCAGUCAAAUUUGCACCAUCAUCGUUAAUGACAAGUAGAACAGACUCAAUAAUCUCAUUGAUGUACCUGAGCAUUAAGAAAAGUAUAUUUUACAAAUGAAAUUACAUUGAAUUGUAAAAAAAUAAGGGGGAAAAAUGGUCCAAACUAUAACACCAUUUGCAUUUUGUGGUCCAAUAACUUACUGCUAAAGUUAUAGAAUGUGAUAAUAUUUUUAAACAUUCAAUUUUGUUUAGCAGGGAAUUGAUCAUUGCAAAUGAUGCAUGGGAAACACCGAAAAGACUCACUAUUAGCCUCAUUAUUAAGUCUUAUUAGACUUCUUCACAAAUAUGUUGUUAUCAUGAACUAAUUUUGCCUCGUGUGUUCUUGCUGAUCCUCUUCCUAUCGGCAUGGUGAUACCAAAUAUGCCCAAUCCUCCUAAUAUUUCUCCAUUUGGCCUCUGCUUACUUGUUCAAAUUUGUUAAACUUGUCGCUUCUUAUAAGUUCUAGCUACAAACCUAUAAUAUAUACCAAGGCCAAUCCAAAAAAUCCUAACACCUCUGACCCUCAAAAGUACCAAAUAAAGAGGCAAUCAAACACAGUAAGAAUUAUUAUAGCUAAUCUUUCUAACAAGAGAAGCUCAAAGUAAAUGAAAAAAAUGAGAUCAGAUAUUCAACAACAUACGCAGGGCUAGCCAAGUUCAUAACAGGUUGCAUCACCAAGCAAGUCAAAAUUUCCCGGGCUAUAGAUCGAAUUACAGGACAUUGAGCUUCUUGUGGUCUCAGAAUUGUAGCUAAUACCCCACUCAUUAGCCGCUGAAGAACCUAUAAAAGGAGAAACUAUAAGAAAAAGUAUGAGACAUAUUUCUCAAAAAUAGACAACAUGGGACACUGUACUCACACCUUGUACUCACUCUCUGGAGAUAUUAGUGCUGGAUGGAGCUCCUUAGAAUUCAACAAAUGCAACCUCAAUCUUUGAUCCCUUUCCUCAGAAGAUAGCGUUAGCAUAACAUUAACACCAAUGGCUGCUUGGUUUCUUCUAAAAAGGUCUAUGUGAUCACCUAUUAAAUCAACUAUGUCCCUGGAAUGUAAGCGAAAUAGAACUUACUAACUUGCACAUAAUGACUAGAAGCAAGUAUAGAAGGGGAUAAAAUCAAACACCUUGUGAGCAAGUCGACAAGGUUCAUGUCUUUAACCCUCAUUGUCACUUCAGCAAUAGCAUCCAUGAUUAUAUCACGUAUCUGCUCAGGAAACUCUAAAUCCGGAGUGAUGUCUGCAUACCACAUAUUCAUGACGAAAUCUUUCAAUAUCAAAUCCAAAAAAUCAUUCAAGGCGGCUUCUAUGAGAGGAGAAUCGAUCUUUUUCCUCCAUUUCGGCGGUGGAGGCGAAGUAGAGAGGCGUGCAUCGUCUAUGGACAACUGUUUCCUCUCCAAAUGAGAAAGAUAUGUGUGCGGUUUAGGCGGUUCGAGCCUCCAUCGAAAUUCUACCUUGUUCAAGAGAAUACGCAGAGCAACAACACACAAAAUAGCGACUGGUACAUUCAUCCACAUUGAUUUACUCGUAUCUAUUUUGAGAAUCGAAGAACAUGAUAUGAUAACAAAUGUGAAUCAAAGACCAAAUCUAUAGGCAUUAUAAAAGAAAGAAAUGAAAACGGAAUGCAUGGCUUACUAGUUAAGAAAUAGGAAAUGGCGAAUACGCAAAGAGACCACCAGAGAAAACGAAGUUUUGCCUCUUCAAUGAGAUCGUAGAUGUCAUCCAUUGAUGGCAUAUCUUUAACCAUCUUCUUCUUCGUCUUCGUCUUCUUCUUCUCUGUUAUUUCCCUCUGAAAUAUAUUACGUAUAAAGUCGCAGCGAUAACCUCGCUCUUUUGUUGGCUUUGAAGGAGUUCACUUUGUCCACCUAAUCUAAUAUUAUACUUAUUAAUUAUUAUUCAAUUAUUUUCUCCCUUUUUUAAUGUAAAAGAUUAUCCACUUAACAUUAGUUAUCAAAAACAAUAAAUGUAAUUAAAUAAUUAUAUAAAACAUUUUAUAAGCACGUGAAAAUCAAACUCCCAUUAGUUUGUGAUUACUUUUGUUAAGUUAUCGGUCAGAAAGUGGUGCUGUUAACAUCAACGCAAUCAAAGACAUUUUAAUGAAUGGAGUAAUAACAUAUAUUAAGUUGUGUGUUACUUACUUACUUUAUGUGGAUAACUUAGAAGUUACAACUAAAUAAUCAGUUUACAUAGUUUUAGCCAAAGAUAGUGUUCUUAAAAGGGAAUAUAUGGGCUGCUACUAUUAGUAAUUUGGUAAUUUCAAAGUUCAAAAAUACGUUGAACGUUCCUUGAAAUAUUCAUCUAUGUAAUUUUUAUAUUUUACAUAUAACUUCCACUCAAUAUAUCUUUUUCUUAUUUUAUAUUUUUAAAUAAAACAAAUAAUUUAUCAUUUAUAUAUUAAUAUAAAAAGAAAUAUUUUAGAAAGAAAAUGAAAAUAACAGUCUGGUAAAAAAAUAUAUCAAUAGCACCGAAUAACCAUCAAUCUGACAGAACUUUAUUAGCCGACUGACCGCCAACCUACCAACCAACCACCUAUGAUAUACAUUGACCAUGGACUGGCUGACUAUUCGUUGAAAGACUCAAACCAACUGUUAAUGUCGACUGAGCGACAACCCGACAACUUAUCUUAUCCAAUUGGCCAACCAAGCUCGAGUGGCCAAAGAUCAUCCAAUGAUCAAUAUCCACCAACGAUCAACGACUAGCUACCUCCUAAUCUUGAUUGAUCUGCCAUCAUCUUUCCGAUACCGAAUUAGCCACAGUUUACCUACCUACCGUUCGUGCAUGUCGACCGAUGAUCACCCGUCGACCUAUUUGACCAACUGCCUGCCGACUGACUACCUAUUCCAAUUGAUUUAUUGCGCCUUGACCAACCACUUAUUGAUCUACCUCGAUCUAUCGAUCCACUGCCAACCUACCUGACUUAUUGUUGUACGACUAGCCCACAUCGAACUACUACUGAUUGGCCUCGGUCAACACAGACAACUGACCUAUCACUGGUCGACGUCGAUAGAACAACUCAGUCGAUCAUCAAACAACACUUGGUGACCUAAUCUGCCAAAACUCUAAUAGAGUGUUAGGCAACCCCAAACUAUGAAAGUUGAUUCCAUCUCCCAUCCUAGGAUGUCUGUCAUUUGACCAUAAGUGACUCCUUGGGUCACAAUAGUUUUUGGCCCUGGUUUUGCUAGGCUUAUUAGAAAUUUUGUUUCUACGGUCUUUUUGUACUCUCCCUUAGUCCGGUGAGUAUUUUGCAAUAUAUUAUAGGACUAUGAUUAAGUCCGUGUAGGGUUGAUGCUAUUGACAACACUAUUGUUCCGAGGGUUACUUGAAACGUUGAUUUUGGCUAAACGUGAGUCCAGAUCCCUUAGUAUGGCAGCGUCCGAUCUCUUAGGUGGCGAGGUGCCGCCUGUCCGAGUUUCUCGUGAGGAGGUGGGGAGGUAGUACUUACAAGAGACUCCGAUACUUAAGUUAGCAAGGGAUUUAGACAAAUUUUUAGUAGAUUAGAACGUGUGUAAUACCUUGGAAGAGGGGGGUGCUUGUGUAUUUAUAAUAAAGUUGAUAACUACUUUUGUUGAAGUAGUUCUAUUUUUUCUGACGGAUAACCAUUUCCUUUAUCUUUGGAGUUUAUUGGAAUCUAUCUUUUAGAAAAGAUAGAGAUAGUAGAAAAGAUUUCUGGAGAUAGUUACCUGUCUUGGGCAAGUAGAGAUUAGCCUCCUUAUGUCGGUGUCCAUCUGUGACUUGUCGAACAGGCCACUUUUUUUGGUGGGCCUUUUUAUCUUAUUGAGCCUGAUUUUUAUUGGGAUAAGAUAUGAAUAACUAUAUAUUUUUUUCUUUUUUUAAUUUGAUAAAAUUUGUAACGUUUAUUACAAAAAAGUUAGAUACCAUUAAUUUUUUUAAAAAAUUAACAUAGACAUACAAUUUAUUUAAAAAAACUUAUAAUUCCGAAAUAUUGGUAUGGGCAAAAUUACUAGUGUGUAUAUAUAUAAUUUCGUUUAUUUUUUCAACAAAAUAAUAUAAUCAGUCAUUAAAUAUGUCAUUCAUAGUUGAAUAAUAAUUUUUUUUAUGAAUAUUAAAUAUACACCUCUAUACCAUGGAUGUGAUCUGUGAACAUAUAUUAUUGUGGUAAAAAACAUUCUUUAAGCUUCUGCUUUAAACAACAUUUUUUUUUGGGUGGAGUCCUUUAAACUACAUUUUUUUUUAUACAGAUGGGAUUAUAAACCAAAAUCCAAAAUUAGCACUAAAUUUGUUGAUUAAGAAAGACCAAGUCAACGAAUUAAUGGUCAUUAGGUGGUUCUUAAUCUGUUUUAUACAUAGAGGUUGGUUUGUUCAUAUGACCGUGGUCACAUACAACAGUGAAUAGAUUUUCUCUUUUUAAUAUGGCUAAAAUAGGAAGAGGAUUGCUAAUUAUUUGUUGUUUAGCUAAGAGUAAUUCCAAUAUAUUCGGAACCAAAAGUAGCUAAUAAACUAUUUUUUGCUCAAUAUAAUACCCACUCCUUUCAUCAAUUAUUUUACACUUUUCCAAUAAGCAGCCUUGGAGGGCCUUCCAAGGUUGGUCGGUCAUAACCAUGGCUCAUCAUCAUCACCCUAAAUUAUUAGCUUCUUCUUUUCUCAUCCUCUUUACUUUCUCUUCUCUUUCAACAUUUUCACAUGCACACUUUCUUCUAGAAGAACUUCAUUUCAACAAUGAGAGGCUUAAGAAUGCCUAUGUUGCUCUCCAAGCAUGGAAACAAGCUAUCUACUCUGAUCCUUACAACACAACCGCUAAUUGGGUUGGCAGCGAUGUUUGCUCCUACAAUGGCGUCUUCUGCGCUCCCGCUCUCGACGAUCCCUCCCUCGACGUCGUCGCCGGCAUCGACCUUAAUCAUGCUGACAUUGCCGGACACCUUCCCGGAGAGUUAGGCCUCUUGACCGACUUGGCGCUUUUCCACAUCAAUUCCAACAGGUUUUGCGGAAUCGUACCUCCAUGCAUGGAGAAUCUAACCCUCAUGCACGAAUUUGACAUAAGUAACAACCGAUUCGUUGGUGGAUUUCCCAACGUGGUUCUCAAAUGGUCAGACAUGAAGUAUCUGGAUCUUAGAUACAACGAUUUCGAAGGGUCUUUGCCGCCGCAACUGUUCGAGAUGGAUCUGGAUGCAAUCUUCUUGAACAAUAACCGUUUCACCUCUGUUCUCCCUGCCACUCUCGGCAAAUCCAAGGCUUCGGUUAUUACUUUCGCUAACAACAAGUUCACAGGCUGCAUUCCGAAAUCGAUUGGAAAGUUGAACAAGUUGAAUGAGAUUCUCUUCAUGGGGAACAAACUGGGUGGUUGCUUCCCUCAAGAGAUUGGAAUGAUGGAGGAUUUGAAUGUUUUGGAUCUUAGCGACAACAAUUUUGUAGGUACUCUGCCUAACAUGACGGGUUUGCAGAACGUGGAGGUUAUAGACAUUGCAAGGAAUGAGCUUAGCGGUUAUGUGUCUGAUUCUGUUUGUCAAUUACCUUCUCUGAAGAACUUCACUUACUCUGAUAAUUACUUCAACGGGGAAGCUCCAGCUUGUGCUGUUGCUGUUGCUGCUUAUAAGGGUUCAAUUAGUACAACUGUUUUUGAUGACUCAGGAAAUUGUUUGACUGGAAGGAAGAAUCAAAAGAAAACUAGGGUGUGUUUGCCGGUACUAACUCGGCCUGUAGAUUGUAGCAAGGCUUGUGGUGACGGAGAAGGAGGUGGUAAUAAUAAUAAUAAUAAGGCCCCCUCGUUAACACCGAAAAAGUCACCUCCAAAGCCAAAGGUUAGUAAACCACAUUCACCACCACCACCAUCACCACCACCACCAGUUAGUUCUCCUCCUCCUCCUCCAUCCCCUGUUUACUCACCACCACCACCACCUACAUACUCUCCUCCUCCUCCUCCACCAGUGCACUCUCCACCGCCACCAACUCAAUCACCUCCCCCACCACCACCAGUUUACUCUCCCCCACCUCCAACUAUGUCACCUCCUCCUCCACCCCCAGUGUUCUCUCCACCACCACCAACUCGGUCACCACCACCUCCCCCAGUUUACUCGCCACCACCACCAACUUACUCACCUCCUCCUCCAACCCCAAUAUACUCACCACCACCACCAACUAAGUCACCUCCUCCACCCCCAGUUUACUCGCCACCACCACCAGCAUGGGAUGAUGAUGUCGUCCUCCCACAACACUUUGGAUCUGCAUACAGGUCACCUCCUCCACCGGCUAUUAUUGGAUACUAAGAAAGAAAAAAAAAAUGUACAAUGCCAUUAACAUCUUUGUCCUAUUCACUGUAAUAUCAAAAACAUGUACACAAAGUUGAAGUUCGUGAAUGUGAAUCCAAAUUUAACUGAAUCUUAAUGCUAUUUUAUAUUAAUGUUAAUGCAGCUUUCUCUGUUUCUCGUUCCCGUUAUUUUUUAUCCCGUUAGGCCGUUAAUACAUCCGUGUCUUUCGAAUAACUAACUUUCAAAUAAAGUUGAAAAAAGAAACGAGAAAUGAUACGUAGUUUGAUUGUUUUCUGGACCUACGUGGAAAUGUUGUAAAGACUUUUUACUAUGUGUUGCAAGGUUAAAACGACGUCGGUUGGUGCGUGGCUUUUCCCAUACGCCGAAAACACUUGAAAGCGACACAGUAUGCUUUCUUUCUUCUUCCUCCGAUCCCAAUCCAAAACGAAACCAACGUAACAUACUCACCGCUACCAUUUCCACCAUCGCAUGAAUCUCACUCUUAAUUUCAAUCCCUAUUAAGAAAUUCGAAGUAGAAAUGGAUGAGAAAACGCAGCCUCUCAACAAGAAAAACGACGACGACGAGGAAGACAAAGUAGUCGCUGAACGACAAGAGCCCAAUCCGCCAGCUGCCACCGGAGGCUGGGGAUUUUCGUCCUUCUCCUUUCUCUCCGAUCUUCAGAAGGCCGCUGCCGUUGCCGCCGAAGAGAUCUCUCGCAAUGUGCGUAUCGAAAUCAAAUGUCGCUUUUGCUUGCGCCUCCAAUGCAUUUUCUUUCAAUCCGUGAUUUUGUUUUCGAUUUGUUGUUCCAGUUAUGGUUCAAUUCCAAUUAUAAGCUACGGUUUUUGUAUUUAACAUUUAAGAAGCGUCCAUUGUUUAGAUCCAUAGGGCAGAAGUAGUUAGUAGAACUUGUUACUUAUUAUGCAAAUGGGGGAUUCUAAUAUAUGUUGAUUUAGGUACUAGUAGAGUAUGUCAUUUUUGAAGUCUUUCCAGUUUGCAUAGCAUUUCGAUGCUUCCGGGGAACACUAUAUUAGGGUUUAUAGGUGUCAACAUAAAAUGAAAACGUGGGAAUUGAAGUGAAGGACAUUAAAUUGCAGUGUCUUUGGUAACAGGGCAAAAAUAUAUGUGUGCCUAAAUUGGUAUUUGCCAAUGACUAAUGCUAUAUGUUCAUAAUCCUAUAUGUUUCAGUUGGUGAAAGAUAUAAUGUUAAAUGAAAAAUUAGAUGCAUUUAUAAUAUGUAGAGUGUUACAAUAUAUUUUGAUACUUUAAAAGUGUUUAGGAUGAAUUUGGUACGAGGAUUCAGAUUUAUUCACUUGGAAUUGGUCAUGGUUUCAAAAUGCAGGCUGCUGCAGUUGCAGAGACAGCUUCAAAGAGCUUUGCGGAGUUGCAUGACGGUGCUGAGGAUUCAGAACCAGAGAAAGAUGCUGCUGGAGAAUCUCCUACUGAAAAGGAAAGUGAUGAUGAGGAUGACAAAUUGAGAAAAUCUGCGCUGGAUAAAUUGGAGAAAGCUAGUGAAGAUUCAUUACUUAGCCAGGCAAUAAUAAAAGGAUUACUUUCCCUUUUCUUUUCUGGGAGGAUGGGGUUGGGAUUGUUAAUUUGUUAUUUAGAUGUCAGAUCUUCAAUGCAUUUCCAUAUAAGACCAAUUUUUAGCAAUCUUGUCUGCCUGUUUAUGUGGAAUCUCAUGUCUCUGCCAUGAGCAAAUAUGCAAGUUUCAUGUUCGAAGUCCCUUUUGUUUAUCUUUCAAAAUUGACGUUUUAGAGGGGAAGGGAAGAAAUUUACUCUUCAAACCUUUCCGUUCCUUUUCUUUUGCUCCAAGACCCCAACUCACAAACACCCCUUUGUGAUCCCCGAGACUAGUGGUUUGUGAAGCUUCUAGCGUAUCCUUUUUAUGGGUCUCCACCUGAAAGUUUUGGUUUUUGUCUCAUACUGUCUUGACUAUUUAAUUAUAGGCAACAUUGAUGAGAAAGAUAAUUGACAAUUUAAGUUGCAAAUUUUUAUUAGGGACAAAUAUUAGUUUUGUUUGUGGAUGUUUAUUGUAUGCUUUGUCAAUAGCUUUUUCUUGUUUCUUUGUGCUCUUGUAAGGAGGGUCUCUUGUCCUCCUGUCAUCUUGCAUCUUAAUUCUUUUUGUCUUAAUUAUAUUCAUCUUUUAUUAAAUAAAAUAAUUAUGCACAUUGCACUAAGUGCUUAUAGUUAGCUCCAUUUUGAGUGCAGAGCUUGAAGGUUUUUGAUAAUUCUGUUGAGACAUUUGCUUCUGGAGCAUGGACUGCCUUGGGAAACGCAUGGAGAGGGAGCACUGAAUUGGUUCAGAGGUAUGAUUUAUCGCUUAUAGGUCAUUUGCUCUUGACAGAUACUUCCAUAUAUUUUGAUGGAAAUAAACAUCUAUUGUUGAACGUGUAAAUAGUGUAUUAUGAUGUUUACCUUCACUUUAGGAGGGAAAAUGAAAAACAUAAGCCAGAUCUAUAAAUGGUUUCUGUGGUUAUUUGUUUUGCAGUGGUCAAUGCAUUGGUCUUGUUCUAUACAGAAAAUAUUAUAGAUUUAUCCUUUUUCUAGUUCCAAUUCUCAAUGCCACUCAUCUAUGACUGUUCAGGAUUAGCAUCCUAUGAUUAAUGAAUUCUGACUUAUUAUUUUCAUCUCUGUUCUUAUGGGAUACACUGAUUUUCAUUCUCUUGGCUUAGUGUUUUGUGCUGUGAUUUGACCUGUAUGAAUUAUGGGUGUAGGAUAGGGAUACAAGUAUACAAUAACUAGUUUACUAAUCAUAUCGAUAUUUAAACAACUCCUAAAAUCUAAAUUUGUUGAAUCUCUGUUAAUAGUUUCACGUAUGGUUUAACAAUGACUAAUAAGGUUUAUAUGAUGGAAACACAGUAUUCCUUAAAUUUUCUUUCAGUCAUGUCUCUAUUAAAGUAGCAUAAAACUACUAGACUAAGUAGUGCCUCUUCUAAUCUUUUGGUUUUUUCUCAAAUAUGCUUUCCUUCUCUCUCUUCCACCUUUCUAUUUGUUUUUCGUUAGUGUAUGGAUUUGAAGCAUAUUCUGCACACCGAGAAAAGCUUUUCAUUGUGUGGAAGAUAUGGCCUUUUGCUGUUUUCUUGCAAUUUGUUCCGAGUCUUUGAAUACUUUAAUAACAUCAUGAGGGACAUGGUUGCUUUGGAUCAUAUAAAUUUUUUCCUGUGUAACUGCUACUAAUAUGGAUAAUGGCUGUGAUCCCUGAUCACUAGGCUUGAGAAUUCAGCAUCAAACCUUGCAGGAUCCGUACAACAAGGUGGGCCUCCAGGUUCUAAUGCAACUUCCCUAUUAGAGGUUUGAAAUACUCAUGCCAAUCUUCUGAUGAUAUUCGUCAAUCGUUAUCAUUUGUCACUAGUUAGUAGUUACAUAGUUACACACUGUAUGUAUUUGUUGUGUUACAGACUGGAAAAGCUUUUACUGCAAAGGGAAUGCAAGUGCUUGAAUAUGUUGGUAAGGAGACAAUGGACCUAUUAAUCAGUGAAACUGGAAUUGAUGUUGAGAAGCCUAAUACAGAAGGUGGAGAACAAAAAGAUGAGGAUCAAUUAUCAGAGGAAGUGACAUUUGAUCGAUGCUUUUACAUUUAUGGAGGUCCGGAGCAGUUGGAGGUAAACCUUAAUGAUGUUGAAUUUGGUUGUUUAGAUUUUGCUUUUUGGAAAAUCAUUUCACAUGCAAUACUCUCAGGAACUGGAAGCUCUGUCUAGUCAUUAUGCCCUGUUGUUUAACCGAAGAAAAGCAAAGUUAUCAGCAGAGCAAAAGUCUGUAUAUGAUGGGAAACUGAAAGAGGUCCAACAAAUUUUUAAUUUGAGUACUGAAAUGGAUGGAACCAGUGCUGAUUUAAACAAAGGAAAGACAGUAAAGAGAGAAAAUGAAGGAAGCGGUGAUGAGAUGAAGAAUUUACAUGAUUCAAGUGUCAACAAGGCUGCUGAAAUGGCUGCAGGGUAACUUAAUCAUUCCAUGAUAUUAAUAUUGUGUUUAAUUUUGAUGCAUCAACAGUGUAGAAGUGUUGCCCUGUCGUCCAAUUAAAUUCUUUGGUUGAUCAGAGCAUUAAAGUAGUGGGUAAGAAAAAAAAAAUAGAAAAAGGACUUGAAAAAAAUAUUUGUGUGAAAAAAAGAAGUAAAAUGAAAUUACAAAUGUACUUCAUGGAAGUAGGGUAAGAAAAAGAAUCUGUCAUACACCUAAACAUCUUGGAGAAGUGUAACAUCCCAAAAUUUUUGGAAUCUAAUUCUAAUUAAGAUUACUUUAUUAAAUUAGGGAUGAUUAUAUUCUAUAUUUGUUUGUUAAUAAUAAUUAAAGUGGUCCUUCAGAAAUACACAACGUUGCUAAUUUGAAUGUUUGGAAGCGCAAUAAUAUUAAGCACAGACUGAAGGUCAUAGGAUUAUUGAAAGCGGGCCAAGGAAUUUCUAUUGCUUCUUGUAUGUGACGUUAUAAAAAGCACUCUUUUGUGUUACCCCUCCUAAUUAGUUCUGGUUUUUUAUUCAUUUGUGUUCACUGCAUAAGUAUGCUUGCCAUUUUUCCCUAUUGAUUGAGGAAGCCUGCUUUGAUUUGUUAAUGUAUGUGAUGAAUCCUGUUGCAUUUUUUUGCAGUUUUACGAAUGUGUUGGCUGGGCUAGCUGUUAAUGAUAUAAUUCAGAGAACUACUGGAAGAUUAGAAUCUCUUCAUUCUGAGGGAGUUCAUGUAUGCGAACAUACUCUUGAAUUUGGUGUCAGAAUUUGAAUAUCAUCUAUAAAAUUCAGUUUUAAUUUUUCAUUUGUGUUUAUUUUAUAAGUGAGAAAAAUCAAAUUUGCUGCUUUCCUUUGCAGAGACUAUCUGAAAUGUGCUGUUUUUCAGUUUCUCAACUUCUAAUGCUUGGCAAAUCCAUCAUUUCUUGUGCCAACAAAAUCGAGGAUGGAGAAGUUGAUGAAGAUAAGGUGAACAUAGAGUGGCCUGAAGAUGUUUCUGCCAAAGCCAAGAUCAUAAGGUUAAAUGCCCAGACAAUGAUAGGAUACGUGGAAGCAGUUUCGAACAGUUUUAUUACAGGUUUGUUUCCUAAAAAUAAUUAAGGCCCACUUCUAACUAGAAAAUAGUAAAGCAUAUAUUUUUUUUAAAGAAAUGGAUAUGUCCAUAUAUCUUGGACUUCUAUUUAUGUUAUGAUAUGAGAUAUUAAUAUUAAUUAUGAAAUAUAAAAAGAUAUGGCAAAACUUAUAUCCAAGACUGUUUUGUGUAAAAAACGAACGUUUGUUUGCGUACACAUUCUCUUUAGAUACCAAAAGGAGUUAUGUUUAAUCAGAACCUGUUUGUUGUUGCCGUGAGGCCAUGUGAAACGGAUGUGUCCAUAGCACCUCCUGACAUUUGUUUGCAAAAGUAAUGUUAGGAAUGCCACCAACAGCGUUCUGCAGUUCAACCAAGCAAGCUAUUCGCUGAUUUGAUUGUGAUCACAAUUACAUUGUUUCUGUUAUAUUAUCAUAGUCUAGUAGUUGCUUACCGAGUCACUCUUACGAAGUUAUGCUCAUCAUUUUGCACUUUUGAUGUACAGAUUCUCCCCAAAAGUUGGUCCCUGAAAAAGCCACCACUUUCUCUGAACACCUUCGAGCUGAUCAAGCCACAGCAAUAAGCAAAAUCCAGGACGGGUUGCAGUUUCUUGCACACGUAGUCAUCUCAACCUCCAUGAAUGCUGCUUGAGAACCCCCAUGUUUUUAUUUGUAAAUAUAUUCACGGUUUAAUUCGAUAAGAGACACCACUCCACUAUGUUCAUUGAUGGUUGUAUGUUACUCGGUUCACUCUUAGCCUAGUAUCUGUACCUGGACAAAUUUGUCCUUUUAAAUUCAUUCGAACAGCAUUUUCUUUUUUAUUCUUUAAUUUAGGGAGUUUAGAAAUGCUCACUGUUCAUCAAUGCGCUUGAGGUACGUGAUUUAUAUAAUCAUGUAAUAAAAUGGUACAUUAACUAUAUAUGUAGCAGCUACAUUUGGAGCACAAGCAAUUUUUAUUUACAUAGCUUAUGUGAUGUGUUGACUAGUGAUGCACGAGUGUUAAUUUGUGUAUAAAUAAGGGUCUAAUUUUUGUUUAUUUACCUUAUUUAUUUUGGUGAUUCAAUUGGAAUCACUCAUCAUAUAAUGUUCACG
rnacentral:lncRNA from 1 species